rnacentral:lncRNA from 1 species
UUUUGGAAAAAGUAUUUUAAAAAUAAAAUUACAAAAAUGCGAAGAAGAUUGUAUAUGUAAAAGAGGUUGCAAAACGUAAUACCCCACAAACAUUUCUAAUUGGGGCUUAUUAUACUAACACGUUGAUGUACAGUUUUUAGUAACUUAGGCCGUUAUUUACACAACGAAUUAAGUAUACAAUACAAAAAAAAAAGGCUAAAGAAAAUGAAAAAUAGAAAAGGGAAACAAUUUUUGGAGUGUAGUGCCAUUACCAUUAUGCCACACUUGACGUAAUCACUAAAGAGUACACCAAUUCUCAUCUACCCUCCCUAAGAGCCUCCUUAAGGAUCGGUUUAGAAACAUCUCUUGGUGGAUAAUAGUCUACACCACCCAUCAUGCUUGUACUUCCUGAUGAAUUCUGGUAACUUGUAUCUGAUCCUUUGAUUUCAAUGCCAGUCAUGAAGCUGCUCACAUCCUCAAAUUUCCAGUCGGAUAGGUAUCCAGGCUUUGAAGGUACAGUGCCUACUUCAAUAUCUCCUGAAAGCAUUGCCACCACACGUGACAUUGAUGGUCGUAAUGUUGGUGAUGUCUGAGUGCACAAAAGUCCUAUUCCUACAAUACGUUUUACUUCUUCCUCGUUGAAUUCUGAAAGUCUAUCAUCCACCAGAUCAAUUAUGCAAUUUUUUUCAUGAAGUUGCCAAGCCUGAGAAAGAGAAAAGCAAUGACAAUAAGGUAAAAUAACAAGCAAAUAAAAUGAUUUUCAAUGUUUUGUGCACAAAUUGAAAAGAUGACAAAUACGAGGGAAUCCUAAAUUCCUUUUAGUAGUAUUAACAUGAGUCAAUUGUCAUAACCAUGCAACCGCUUUCUACACAAUUUUAAGAAGAAACUUAGUUUCAUAUUAUGCUAGUAAGAUUUCCCUAAUAAUUAACAAAGCAAAAACAAUAACUAUUUUUCCCAUGAAAUAGACAAUCUAAUUGAAGCCAUUACAUCUCUAAGAAUCACUGUUUACAAGGCUCCUCAGUGUGAGAAAUUUCAUGUAGAGUAGGUGACUUUUGAGUGAGGUGUAAUCUUGACCAAUGAUUAUGACCAAAGGGAUAUUACAAAAGCUAUUCUUGUACAAAAAUGUUUUUAACAAUUGUUAUAUUUUGUGACAUCAUCUUCACGAUUACCAUAUGCCAAUAUGUUAGUUAGGUAAAAAAUAGACACCAUUAAGGAAGAUAUAUAUCGACAUUAUAUAGUUCAUCUCAUUCCAUAUAUUAGGUAACAAGAAAAAAAAAACAUCUAAGCACUUGAAAAUUGGUAAUUAUAUGGGAAAUGACUCAUUUAUUAUCCUAUGAAAUGUAAUAUAGGUAUAAUUAUGAUAAAAAGCAAAACUAUAUUAACAUUAAGCAUUUUUUUUGGAAAAAUAACAUUCAUUAUAAGCAGAGGCAGUAUGCAUACCCAUUCUAGAAGAUACACCUUCUCUCCUUCCAAACUUGAAUCAGAAUUUGGCCUCCCACUAACUAACUCUAGAGCCACAACACCAAAGGAAAAUACAUCUGCUUUCUCUGUAAGGAGGCCACGCAUGGCAUACUCCGGUGCAAGAUAUCCACUUCAUCGCAAGAAUUUGAGUAAAUGGGCAGUAUAAAAUUAAUUAAAAUAAAAGUGAGACCAAUCCAUAAAUAAAUUAUAGAAAAAAAUCAUGAAACGAAUACAAUAUUAUAAAGUAUUGAUGACUCACAUUGUCCCCGCCACACCGGUACUUAUAUGGGUUUUUUUAUCAUCAUAUAAUUUGGCCAAACCAAAGUCAGAUAUUUUUGGAAUAAGCUCAUAAUCAAGCAAAAUAUUACUAGCUUUCACAUCACGGUGUACAAUGCGAAGACGUGACUCUUCAUGUAAAUAAGUUAAACCUCUAGCAACACCCAAGCAUAUAUCAUAGCGUGUGGACCAAUUGAGGGUUAAACAUUUUCCUGCCCAAAACAAACCACAAUUGUCCUUAGUUAUUUAUACAAAUGAAAAUGAGAAAAACAAAUAAGCAUUCAUACAUAUACACUGAAAAAAAAAGUAUCAUUUUCUCAUACCAAACAAUGCUUGAUCAAGACUCUUAUUUUCUAGAUACUCAUAGACAAGCAGUCUUUUACUCCCCUCAAUGCAACAUCCAUAUAAUUUGACCAGAUUACGAUGUUGCACAGCUGAUAUAGUAGCAAUCUCAGUUAUGAAUUGGCUCUUUCCUUGAUGGGAUCCCACAGAUAGUUGUUUCACAGCAAUAGCCCUUCCAUCGUUAAGUGUCCCCUAGAAGAAAGAAAAGAAAAAUAAUAUUCUCUAAAAUAAAGGAUUUAGUUCCAAUAUUACUCUCAAAAUAUUGAAUAUUAGAAAAAGGGUUUCAUUCAUCAAAACAGUAUGACUAGUUGCAGUGGUUGAGUUAAGUCCACGUUAGAGGAAACACUAGCUAGUAAAAUAAAAUAAAAUAAAAUAUAUUUAUCAUUUAAGAACAUUAUGACAUAUAAAAAUAUAUGAUAAAAAAUAAUUAACAAUUAUUAGUUGAGUUAAGAAUAAAAAAAUCUACACUUGUCUUUUGUGAGGUAAAUUUAAUUAACAAGAAAAUCAAUAUAUAAACAUGCUAAAAUUCUAAAUAUCGCUAUAUCCGAAUAUAUCAAUAACUAGAAGCACUAGAUACAUAUGAAUUGUUAGGGGUAAAUAACUAGGAAAAAGUAAUGUUUACGGGGAAGAAAAUAUUCAUUUUUAUUAAAUACUUAGUAAAAAAUCCAAGAAGAGUCUAUGCUCCCCUCAAAUGAUCGUGGCUCUACCAUGUGAAACCAGCUGCCUUGAGCAUCAUUUGAUCCAGUAUUGUCAAUGAUAACCUUUUGUGAAGUAGCUUAUAAUCAUUUUCUUCUUAAGGGACAUAACAUUACCUUAUAAACAGGUCCAAAACCUCCCUCUCCAAGCUUAUUUUCAUGAUUAAAGUCAUUUGUAGCAUUCUUUAACUCAGAAUAGCUGAAAGUGUAGGGCUUAGUAUCAAUUCCUAGAAGCUCUGCAAUAUCAUACAAGAACAAAGUUAAGGUUGAAUAAGCAUAAACUUAUUUUAAUGAAGUCGGGGAUGAUGCUCAAAUUUCUUUUUAUUCAAGUUCAGAACAAUAUUUCUCCAUUUUUUGCAAAAUGUUUUGAAUUAAGAUAAGAAAAACAAAUAGAAAUGCACAUACAUUAUCUACAAUGUUGGACUAUUAAGCAUAAUACAAUCAUUUUUUUCUUCUAUCAUCUGAUUAUGUUGUGAUUCAGAAACCAAAACAUAUAAAAUAUGUAGUACUGAAGUGACAGUUUGUCCUAUUCUAGUCUAGAGACAUAAGUAAUGUAUGUCCCGCUAGAUCUUGAAAUAUCUUAUGCAAUAUGUAGAAAAAAUUUAAAUAGUCAGAGAAAAAUGUUAUACAAAUAUUCACACAAUGUCUUUACCUUUUUCAUCAUCACGACGUCUUCUUCUCCGAAUGAUAUAGAAAAUUGCAAAAAUUGAUAAAACGCUUACAACUCCAACUCCAAAUACGAUUCCAAGAAUUAGACCGAUAUUAUUGUUGCUACUACUUGGAGGUUUGUUACUAACAGUAGGUAUGAAAUCUGUACAACACAAAACAAUGUAUCAAAUUAAAAAAAUAUAUAAAUUUUGAAUAUCUAGCUGAUAAGGGAUUAUGCAUAAUGAAAGGUUAGUAAUUAAACAUCUAAAUUACCAAUUUUUUUCAUAGUAUUACCUGGAAUAGCAUGGAUUGCUUGAAUUAAGGGCCCAUAAGUACCUUGAGUUGGUAUGCAACAAGUACCUUUUCCAGCCCAAAAGAGAUGAAUCUCAAGAUAGUUUUCUGUCACUUCAAAUCUAAAUUGCCUUUGGAUAGCUCUAUAUGAGAUGCCCCCAGCUUCCUUCUGUAUAUCAAAAUCCUUCAAAACACGAGUACCCUGAAAUAUUCAAAUGGAAAGAAAAAUGAAGGUAGACAAAGUAGGCACAUUGUAGAUGUUGUGCCUUUAAUUAGAUAAUUAAGAAGAAAAGUCCAAAACACAUUUUCCUUUCCUACAAAUACAUUGAUAUUAUAAAAAAAUGUUAAAGGCGUUCAGUUCCUACAGUAGAGCAAUAUUCUCUUUUAGUCUCAAAUAUAAAUAUAAAUUGUCUCCUGUUGGUCUUCAUUUAUAUAUGAAAAUGCGUCAUAUAUGUUGUUAUUUUCAUAAAUGAGGGAUUGUUAUUUUCAUAAAUGAGGGACCAAAAGAAAAUCACAUUUUAUGAAAGACACCAACAACAUUUGAUAUAUUUUCAUAAAGUUGGAAAAAAGAAAUAAUUUAUAUUUGAGGGAUAAAAAAAAUUAUUAUAUUUAGAAGGACUAAAAACAAAAUUAAUCCAAAAGGAUUAAAUUUCAUUUAAUUAAGUUUUUAGUUUAGAAUUAAUUUGUGGAAUAAUUAAAUUAAAACUAAUAAUUAUUUUAACUACAUGAAUAAAACGUUUAACCAGGAUAUAAAUUUUAUAACUUAGAUAACUAAUGUGAUAUUAUAAUUGACGGAGAAAAAAAAUCUAUCUUUAUAUUAGUAAUUACUACAUUCUUUCAUUAUAUAGCCUUUUAAACCUUGUUCUCCAACUAGAGGGUUAGAGUUAAAUAUCAUCUCAAUAAAAGCUUUUAUAUAUAUAUAUAUAUAUAUAUAUAUAUAUAUAUAUAUAUAUAUAUAUAUAUAUAUAUAUAUAUAUAUAUAUAUAUAUAUAUAUAUAUAUAUAUAUAUAUAUAUAUAUAUAUAUAUAUAUAUAUAUUGCUUAAAUAUAAUGUUAGAUUCAUUGUGGAAGUUGUUUAAGAUAUUGGAUACGUCUCCAACUGAGUAUCUAAUCAUUAUGAUUUUGAAGUAUUUUGAUAAAGACAUAAGUACCUGAAUAUAAAUAUCAAAGACUCGCCUCCCAAGGCUUUCCCAGGUUCUAUUAGAAUCUAGAAUAGCUGUUUCUGCAAAUUGAAGGGUUAUGUUGUAAAAACCAUUUUCCAGCCCCAGGCCAUAAUAUCUUAAUGACGAAGCAGAAAGUCGUGCUGUUUGGAAGAGCUCCGGAUUCACAGUGCCAGCGAACUGAUUAGGCACAAAACUUUUGUAUACAGGAUUACUGCUCCCCGCAAAUAAUCCAACAUUACUAACAGCCCAUCUGUUUGCAUCAGUAACAAAGUAUGUAGCAGGACCAAGUGUUUGAUUGUCCAUUUCAUACACUAUUCCAUCUGCCGACCUAAUUUGGUUACCACCACCCUUGAUUGCAAAGUCAGAGUCUGCAUGUAGUCAUAGAUAAGAGAUUGAUCAGUGAAUGAAAAGGAGUUUUAAAUAACGAGAUUGACUUUAGAUAUAACCGGAUUGAUAGUUAUUUGGAUACAAUAUAUUUUAGUUACUUAAGAUUUGGUUAAAACUAAUUUUAGUCCCCACAUUUUAUAAAUAAUGAUUUUGGCUCUAGUAUCUAUGUAUUAUAAAUUUCAUCUUUAAUCUUGUUAUAUUUUAAUCCAAGCAAGGAUAAAAUCCACCAUUUUAAAAAUACAAGGAUUAAAAUCUCCAUUUUUAAAUUGUAGAAACUAAAAUUAAUUUUGAUUAAAUAUUAAGGUACCUAAAACACAUUGUCCAUUUACUAAGAAAGAAAGAUAUAAAUUCUUGAGACAAUAUAAUCUAAUCAUUUGAGAUCCUAAAUUUGCAGUUACACAUGGUUGAGUUAACUUCUGAAAUUAAAUAUUAAUAUUCUCAUAUACCCCUUAAUGAAAUUCAAGAUAAUAAUAUUAUAGCCUAGAGUGAAUAGUGCCCACUCAAUAGUCCUUUAGGCCAACCAGAUUUCACAUUGAAAAGUAUUAAAAGAGAAAACCUGUACAUGUUGUGGCUCAAUUAGUAUUUUAUAGUCAAUAACCACUAUGUUAUUUAUUAAUCAAGAUAUUGCAAAAUUGUUUCAAAAUUAGAAAUAGUUCUGAGUCUAACAAGGUUAUUAAAACCUGUUGGUUAAUCUUUAAGAUAGUUGUUCUUACAAGUCCAACAAUUGUCAAGAAUGAAAGUUAAUUAAAUUAAUGAUGGUUGGCUAGAAGGAGAAGUAAGUGACUUGUAAGGACAAAGAAUUACAACAACUUUACAAAUCUUUAUGUUGUGGAAAAUGACAAAAAAAAAAAAGUUAAAUUUAUCAAUGAAAACUCAAAGGUAACAAGAUGAUUUUUAUCGGGAAUGUUGCUAGAAGUGAGGAGGAAAUAGUAUUAGGAGAGCAUAAAAAAUGUACAAAGGGCAAUAAGCUAUUUGCGAGGGGAAUUGACCAAUGAUAUUAAAGAAAAAGAAAAUUGAAUAAUGAGGAGUGAAAAAUAAUGGAGACACAUAACAAGUAUUUGAAUAAUGGUUUGGUGGCUUAGGGCUGGGAGGCAGAGGUUACAUUUAACCUCUGAUUGUUUUCUCUUUAUUGAAAUUUUUGUAUUUUUCUAUUUUAGUAACUGUGUUUCUGUUUGUCGAGCACUAAUUUCUCCUCUUGCAAUAGAGAUUUCCUUGAAUUCAAUCUUAUUCUCGGUAUUAAUACUAGUUUAUAUCAAGGAAAGAGUUUGUUUCAUUUUUUAUAUUUUGUUUGAUUCUUCUACUUGAGUAGUUGUGUUUCUGUUUAUCGAGCAAUAAAUUUUAUUUGAAAAGAAGACUUCUUCCUUGAGUUUUUAUCUUAUAUGCAAUAUUAAUAUCAAUUCCCAUUAUAAUUCUAGCAUAUAUGUGCUAGUACAAUUAUACCACACAAUUAUACCACACUAUGUAUAUAACAAAAGUAAAAGAAAAAAAAAGAAUACAAGCAAAUGAGUGGUUAAAGAAUAUAAUAAUAUAUUACCUUCUGUCUUAUAUAUAAGAAACAAAUACUUAAUUACCAAAAACAAUAAAGAUAUUUAAGUUUUUUAAUUUUAAUUAAUAAUGUCAUAAUUUUUAUUUUCAGAAAUAUCCACAAAGUUAAAUGGUUUAAGUGAUAAUUAUAUUUAAUAAUAUUACUGUCAUAUUUUAAGGGAUAAUUUUUACAACCAAUGAAUAUAACUAAUAUUAUUUUCUAAUUAGUUUUAGUGUUUCACAUGACUCACAUCAAUAAAAAAAAUAAAACUUACAUCUUCCAACUCCUUGAUUGCAAGGAAAUUUUUUUUGGAGACAAUUGAGCCCAAUAGGCAAGCCACUGCAAAAAAAAUUAAAAAAAAAGGUUAUGUUUUAAAUUGCAAAACUCUUCCGGCUUUAAGUUACACCCAAUAAAAAUAGAAAUCAAAGGUUUAAUUUAUUAAGAUUUAUUAAGUUACACCCGAUUAAUAUAAAUAGAAAUCAAAGGUUUAAUUUAUUAAGAUUUAUUUCAAAGGCUUUUACCUAAACCCCAACAUGAAUGGAAACUAACACUUCAAUUCUUGGGAAAACAUCUUCCAAGUUUAGGAAAAUCAUCAACCAAGCAAGUAUUAACAAUGCUCAAAGAGUGAUGGGAUGACAAACUUAUAUUAACUUAAUCAUUUUUUGGUUAGUGUUACCAAAUGAGAAUUAGUUUUACGUAGAUUUCUAAAUUUUAAGUCUUAGAAAAAAAAGUAAAAUCUUAUGGAUUAUUUAAUUUAUUCACAACACAUUAUCUUUAAUCAUCAAGAUUGCCUCCUUGCUUUGAAUAAUCAAAAUUUCAAAUCAUAAAAGUAGAUUGAAAUAGAGAAUCAUUGUAAUAAUAGUUCUUCACUUUUAUCAUCAUAUAUAUAAUGGCAAUUCCAUUCUCAUAUCUGCUUAGGAAAUUAUAUGUGCAUAAAGUGAUUAAUGAAAACAAUAUCAAAUGAAUCAAUUAAUGACUAUAUCAAACACCCAUUACACAUGCUAACUUUUACCUAAUGAAGCAAUUAAUAAACAUCUCUAGAAUCAUAUAAGCAAAAAAGUUGUUUAGUAUAUUUGACUUAAAUAUAAACAGAUCUAACUAAUUAAUUUCAUCCAUAUUUAAUGAUGUCAUUUCUAAAUUAUCCUUCAUUUAAUUAGGAAUUUAUUCUCAAAGACUUUGUUUUAUUAAUAUAUCAAGUUCCAAAGAAGGACUUUUUAGGAAUAAUCUUAUUUUUUUAAUUUGAGAUUACUAAAAUUAAAUGAUUUAACUAACUUUUUUAAUCGAUGUGAAAAUAAUUAUUUUUGUUUAUAUAUGAAUCUAGAGGAAGUAUCAAAUAAACAUGACAUAAUAUAUUCUCAAAAAAUAUAUUAGUAAAAAAUAUGAAACUAGAGGCCAAAGAAUGAGAAAUGAAAGAGACAUCAACAAAAUCAAUUACAAUGAUAAAAAUUAUUAAAAGUUGUUAAACAUAAUGAGUAUCAAAGAGGACAAACAAGAUAUGAUACAUUUAUGUUAAAAGGAAAAUGUUUCAAAUGGAUUAGAAGAUUGUGAAAAUAAAGAGAGAAAAUUAUGCAACCAACAUAUCAAUCUUGACUAAAAACUAAAAGCAUCUAGCUAGAGACAAUAUUGAAAUUCAUAUUAUACCCAAAAAUAGGUGAUACAUGAUAAAUUUUGAAGAACUAUUAAAAUAAUCAUCAUCAAAUAAAGUGUAUAAUUCUCACCCGGCAUUUGAGACAUCUAAGUUGUUGGCAACUAAAUUCCUGUAUUUCAUAUGUCAAUAGUAUCAUAAUUAGUUUCAACAUACAUAGAGAGAUUCGUGUUAUUGUAUAAUUUUAAACAUAUGUUGUUAAAAAUUUCAACUAAAAUCUAAUGGAUAGUUAAAUGUGAGAGGAGACAAAGACAAUUCUAUUAUUAUAGUAAAAGGAAUUGUGGGAAGAUAAUAUUAUUAUAACUAUGAAAUUAAUGAAUUAAAAUGUUUAUGAAGUUAAUUAAAUAUCAUUAACUUAAAUUCUAUUGAUACUAAAUUUUGUCCUUUUCAAUUUAUAUCACUUUAAUAAACACCAUUCUUUAAAAAUAAAGUUUAAAUUUACAUUUGUUAACUCUUGAUACUCAUUUAAUAUCAUUCUAGUGUUUGAGAUUGUAUUAUUGUCUUUUAGAAAUUUAUUUAAGCAAAAUUUAGAAAACAUUAAUUAAAACAAGAUUAAUGAUGAAGUUUUGUAAACAUAAUGGUUUGAUGUGGUAGGUUAUUAAAUUAUGAAAAUAAAUAUAAUCAAAGUUGUUCUAGAUUACAAUUUCAAACAAAAUCUUAGGAAAUUGUUGUCAAACAAAAAAACUUAAAAAACAAUUUGUAUAAAACAAUUGAAAUAUUCGAUAUGGAUAACUUUAGGACUCGCACAAGUAUCUUACAUAAAAUGUAACUGAACAAGAUCAAAUUGUAGAAAUGGAAUGAUUGUUUAUUUCAUUGACAAAUUUCUCUAUAUUUUGACCUUUGCAUAUAAUGGGAUACAAUAUAAAAUAUAAGAAUGAAAUGUUCUACUUUUCCUUCAUGUUUUCUAACAUUAUUAAAUACUCAUAAAAGUGUUCUCUUUUGUUUAUUACCCGUCUCAAUCCUAUUUAAUAGCCUUAUACCAUUAUGUCUUAAUGAUCCCCAAUUACUCAAUUUAUUGUUCAUAACAUAGAUAAAGAUUUUAAAUAACAUACUACACUUUGGUUAUAGUAGAGUGGUUUAGUGUAGUUGUCACACUAAACCAAAUAGUUGGCUAAAUAGUAAUUGUAGUAGGUGUUAUGUGUUGAUUCCAAAAAUAUCCCUUUGAAUAGAGACAUUAGGACAUUUUUUGAAGGGCUACUUAUGUGAUUUUAAUUUCUAAAACUCAAAUUCUUAUAUAUAAUGGUAGUGAAAAUGAUAAAAUAAUACUUUUAUUUGGAAGAUAAUGAUGAGAAUUGAUAAAUCCCAUCUAGAAAAAUUCUAUUUAAUUUUUGUUGGUAUAUUUACUUGUAUGUUUUGUAUAAGACACCUAUGUCAUUUUUAUUGUUAAUUUAUGAAUGUCAUUAAUUUUGAACAAUUUUUAUCAUUUAUAUGCAUAUUAUACAUUAAUAAACUAUAUAAAAAUUUCAAAAUAACAACUAUCCCACUUUACACUAUAUCAAUUUUGGCGCCAACAUCUACAUCCCACUAUCUAAGAUUUAAAACAUUCACAUAGACCCAUUGGAUUUGGUGUUUGCUAACAAAUUGAUAUGUAAAAAGAGAAGGAAAAAUAAAUAAUUUCACUACUUACAAUUGUAAAUUUGGUUCGUUUACCCAAGGGGGGAGGCUACCCGAUAGAUCAUUGUAUGACAAGUCUCUGCAAGCAUGUUAAGUCGAACCAAAUAAAAGAUAGUACAUGAGGAAUGAAGUAGUUUCAAACUGAAAUUAGGCUAGAAAAAAUAGCCUAAGUUUAAUAUAAAUAUGAGUUGACAAACUCUUGUGUUUACAAGUAUAUCUAAAUAGUCACUUCUUACUAAACCUAUAGAAGUUAAUAUGAUCACAAAUACAAGUAUUGAUAGAAGUGUCAUAUAUAAUACUCUUAUAAAAAAAAUAUGAAUGGACAUGACCAAAUAAAGUAGAAGUUUAAAACACUAAAAAGAAUAUGUAAAUAUAAAUCAUCUCAUGAAAACAUCAUAAAAAAUAAAGACGUGAUAAAACAUCAUUAAAAAAUUAUAGUUGAGAAAUUCCAAGAAUGAGUUAGAAAAGUGGAGAAAGUAAAAAAAAAAAAAAACUUCGAGAUAGAUGAUGUCAUCUUUUCUUUUUUAGCAUUAGUAUUCAAUCAUUGUAGACUUAAUAGAUGACUACCAUUUAUCCAAUAUAUAUGAUUAUUUAUACAUAUCUACAAAAUAUUUUUGUCCUAAUAUUUUGAAUUAGUAUAGCUAAACAUUCCAUCCUCCAUAAUUCAAACAUGUCAAUCUUACUCACAUAUUUACAAGAGAUGGACUUUUCUGCAUCGGAAGGGUACCGUUGAAUUUAUUAUUUCCAAGAAACCUAUGAUUUGAUAAAAAAAAAUGAAAAAUUGUUUAAACUUUGUACAAUAAUAUAUCAACAAAUUAAGACAUAACUUCUUAAGAAUGCAAUAUUACAAGAAAGAGAGUGAGCUCAAAUUGAAAAUUGAUCCCAAAUUUUGUCCUGUGAUGUUAUUGAAGCUUAAAUCCCUGCAAAAACCCACCAAAAAAUAUAUAAUUUUCUAAAUGUGCGGGUAGUACACAACUAUAAGAAAAGAUACUUAAUUUCUUUUUUUUGUAAAUAAAGAAAAUAAAAUGUACAAAUAUCUUAUUUGUAUGAUAAAUAAGCUGAAAAGUUAUAUCUUUCUAUCACAUAGCAACGAAAAAAACAAAAUUAAAAAAGAUAAAUGAACAAUAAACUCCCAUUCAUUUGAAAGCACAAAUACUUAUUUUAAGAUAUCUCUCAUAUAACUAGCCAAUACUCAAAUCGGAGAUAUACCAUGGAAUAACAACAUUGACUAGUUUCUUGCUUUCUAGUUGACACCUUUUACAUAAUAAUUUCAUUUGAAUCUAGUUUAACACAAAUAGGUGAUACUCACAAUUGAUUCAAAUUGUGUAACUCUCCAAUGGUGGAUGGAAUCAAACCAGAAAUAUUGUUAUUCUUUAGUUCUCUGCAACAAUUGUAACAAAAAAUUUGGACUACAUUUAGGAAGAUAAAAAUAAGUGAACAAUUCAAUAUGCAUGAUAGAGUGAACCAUGAUCAUUAGGAAAGUUGAGGCCUUACAAGAUAGUCAAAGAUUUCAUAUUCCUUAAAAAUUCCAAUGAGGAACUCCCAUUAGAUAAACCUGUGAUUCUCCUACAUUUAUUUCAUACAUGAUAUAUUAGCUUUCAUAAGUCAACAAUAACCAAAUAAACUAAUUGUGAUACUUACAAUUCUGUUAAAGAACUCAAAUUAGAAAAUGAUGAUGGUAUUGAGCCAUUAAAAGAAUUGCCCUGAAAUCUCCUAUCAAGACAUACAACAAUUCACAAAAAUUAUUAAUACUCAUUUUUUGAAUAGAAUAUGAAAUUAACAAUAAAAGGAAAACAUUAAUUCCACAUCCAAUAUAAUUGAUUUUUGCCCAAAAUUUUUCACCUACAUAUUUCAAUUAAAGGAGGAAGAGAAAAUUGUAUUGUUGUCUUACAAGGAUUGAAGCUUAGACCAAUUCCCUAUGAAGUCCGGUAUUUUUCCUGUGAGUUCCGUGUCUGAAGCCCAUCUAAAAUGAAUAGAAAUUUUUUUUAUCAUUGUAGAAGUUCCUUUUUACUCUAUUAUCAUAUUAGAUACAUUAGAUUAGGAAUAUCUUACACUUGUUUCAAAUUCCUAAGGUUUGCAAAUGUGGAAGGAAUUAGACCGCUAAUUCCUGAACUAUCAAAGUGACUGUAAGAAAAAUUCUUUGAAAUUAAUAUUGUAUCACGAUAAAGAUAUACAACUUGGCAACAAACUGUAAUUUUGAAUAAAAAAGGCCUAACACUAUACAUUAUCCAAAACCAACUCAUUAUUCAAAACAAUGUAUGCUUAUGACAAUAUAAAAGGCUCAUUGAUGAGUAUGGAUAAAUAACAAAUAAUUGUUUGUUAUAUUUAUUUGAGUAUGGGCCUAGCAUGUAAUUUUUAGGGAUAUUGUUGUUUGCAACUGUAAACCAUAUUUGAAAGAGUAGAGAUAGGACACAAAAACAUAGAAACUCAUAUACUGCAACAUAGAGGUAUGAUUCAAUAACAUUAGAAACAAAUAGGAUUUACUAAUGUUAGACACCUAAAUAUUUGAGCAACAAGAUUCAAGUAAAAAUGAAUUGAUGGGCACAUUGACUUUUACUUAAUAGUCAUUCCAUAACUUAUGGUAGCAAUGUAUUUAUGGCUAGCCAAAAUUUUAAUUUUGCUGCUGCACUUCUAAAAUAAAAUAAAAUAAAUAUGUUAGGUGGACAAUAUUUUGACAUACAAUAUAAAAAUAAUGAAUAAAUGUAGUUAGUGUAUAUGUAUGAGAGUCUAUGUAAAAGAGCAAAUAUAUAUGACCCAAACUUAAUUUAAAAUAAUUACUAGUACAUGUAAAAGGUAAAACUAUAGAAGUACUUACAUUUCUUCUAAAUUUGUCAAUUUUCCAAGUUCAGAUGGAAGAGAUCCUCUAAACUUGUUUGAUCCAAAAGCCCUACAAAUUUAAUAAAUUAUAAAUCUUAUCAAUGCCGUCAAGAGAAAUUUCCCAUGCAUACCAUCAUGUGUCCAAAACAAAACAAUCUUAAGAUUAAUUAAAGAGAACAAACUAUUUUGUAUAAAUAAAUUCUAAAAAAAUUUGAGUUUUUCUCUUAGCCAUUUAGGUAUAAAUAACUAGUCAUUGUUUGUCAAAAGGAACAACUAUUUAGUUUAUAACUCGUUAUUUUUUCUACAAUGUUAAUUAAAUUCAUCACUUAUACUCUCAUCCCUUAUCUAUUAGAGACUUCAUUAAUCACAUUACUAGAAAAACAAACAAAAAUUAUCAAAAGAUCCAUCAUAAGACCAGUGUAUCCUUUUUUACACAUAUAUGUCAUUCUAAUUUAAUGGCCGAAAUGAACUUUGACCUACAUCAGGCCAUUUGGAUCAAUCUACUCACACCAUUAAUUAAACACUUUGCUAACACCCAAGACUCAUACUGCAAGGGACAUUGUUAUGACUUAAACAUCCAACAAAAAAAAACUAGUUUAUUUGGUGGAAAAAUCUCAUCACUUGAGUAUCACAUUAAAUUUCUUAUUUUAAUCAAUGUAAGACUUAAAUUAGACACUAAAUCUCUUGGUGACUAUUUGAUCCUAAAAAGAAAACCAUUGAUACCUUUAUAAACAAAGAAGAAAAUUCAAAGUAAAUAACAUACAAUAAUUUUAACUCUGUAAGAUUUCCCAAUUCCUUUGGAAGCUCUCCAGAAAUAUUAUUGAUGCCAAGGCUCCUAACAAAUAAUAAACUUGAAUGUUAAAAUUAUGUGUCUCAAAAAUACACAAAAUAUUAUAAUUUUAACUUGGGUCAAAUUGCCUUACAAGUAUUGCAAACGAGUUAGAUUUUCAAUGCUUGGAGGUAGAGAACCUGUCAAGUAAUUUUGGCCAAGAUUUCUGCUUGCAAUUUGAUUGAACUUAGUAUAUAAAAAAGCAUGUGAUUCUUGCAUGAGAACAACGAAAUAAAAGCUAAAAUUGCACUAAAUAAUAAUAAUAAUAAUAAUAAUAAUAAUAAUAAUAAUAAUAAUAAUAAUAAUAGUGGUAGUGAAGAAAGCAUACAAAUUGGUGAGGUAAGUCAAAGUCCAUAACUCUUCUGGAAUUGUACCAACUACGCUCAUUGCAUAAACUUUUCUGUUCCAUUAAAAAAACAAAUGAGUAUUAAAUUUCUAUAGUUAUAGUAAAUUUUCAACUUUGAAAUGGUAACACAAAUUUAUUCAAAACAAAUUUAAAAGUAAUUUUCAGAGAGAAAUAGAAAAGAUACAAUGCUGUGAUGCGACAAGUAGUUCUAUUGUCAUAGGAACAAUCACAUUUGAUCAAUGGGUUGAAGGUUGUAUCAUCAAUGAGGGAAGUGUCGAUGGCUCUUCCAGUACAAAGUUCACCGCUAAUAUUCCAAUGAGUUGGGUUUGCCAAUAUAUCCCAUUUCUUAAAGAUUGAAUUUAAAGCUCUUGCUGCAUUCAUAAGUUCACCUUUUGAGGGAUAUGUACUCAAGAUAAAAAGAAAGGAAAAAAAACAUUCAAUUUGAAAAAUAAUAGAGAGAAACAAUAUGCCUUUGUUCUUAAAUAUAAGACAUUUUUUCAAAUUUAUUUGUAUUUUUGCAAGACUCUUCAAAUUUUCUUUUGCGCUAAUUUUUUUUAUUAAAAUAUUUUUAAUUACUUUAGAAUAAACGUGAUGAACUAAAAAGAUAAAUAUACUCUCUUUUAUAAGGAUUGAAGAAGAAAACUAACACACAUUAAUUAAUUAAUUAAGUAGAAAGUAAUUAAGUAGAAAAAAAGAUGAGAAGUCCAAUAAUUUUAAGAGCAAUUUUGGAAAAAUAAUAUAAAUUGCUAGCAAAUUUAAUGCUAUUAAAUAAAUAAAUCAACUUUUAAGGGUGUGAUUGAAUCUUAUAUUUAAGGACACAUGUAUAGUUUGGGUAAAAAGUAAAAGGAUAAAAAGAAAAAAAAUACUAAUACUAAGAAAUGAAUAUCUUUUAGUUGUUUAAUACAAAAUAAAUAUAAAAUAAAAAUAAGAAAAAUAUAAUAAAUUAUAUCUUUUACUCAAAAACGUUUUAUUAAGAAUGAAAGAUAUAAAAUAAGGAUAUGACACCACAUGAACGGUCUAUUUCUAUGUUGUUUCAAAUUAAGGAAAAUACAUUGAUAAUUGAGGUUUUUUUUCCUUACCAUGUCUAUUUGAUUUUUUUUUUUUUACAAAGUUAUAAGUAUAAAAUAUCUACUAAUUUUAUUAACUACACUUUCUCUAUAAAAAAAAUUUAAAUUUGAGAUCAUAUUUAAGAAAUCUAAGUAUAAUUCCAUUCAAACUAACAUAAUAUUUGUGUUUAUGUUUACAUUCGGUAAUUUUUUUUUCUUCAAAAUGUUAACUUUUUUAUAUAGAAGACUCUUCUACUACUAUUGUAAAUUAUUUCACAAUUUUAUUUUAACCUUUGACUAUUCUAUUUCAACCACACUAAUUACAUAUACAACAUAUAAAGUUCUAAAGAAUAAAAAACCACAGACAGACAUAUCAAUGAUUUUUUUUUUAAAAAAGAAUUGGAGCUAUUAUAUAUAUAUAUAUAUAUAUAUAUAUAUAUAUAUAUAUAUAUUACAAUAGAACUUCUUUAUUCCAUAUAUUAUAUUAAUAGGUUACACAGGCGCAGACAAUGGACUAGUGCUUUUUAUAAGAACAAGUGAGUCAAUAACAGUUUUUUUUAAAUAUAAUUUUUUAAGUUUAUGCAAAGUGAAAUAAUUAUGAAAAACUUGUGGAAGAAUAUUUAAGUUGAAUUUGCAAAUGUUGGAACUUUAGAAAAAUAUCUCACAAUUUACUUAGUUAUACUUAAGACAUGCUCCAAAAAUACUAGUGCCGCAUGUUGUCUACACCUCUAAUGAGAUGUCUAUGAAUAAUUUUAUAUAAUGACAAUUAGACAAUAGGAUCCAAUUAAAAAAAUAUAAAAAAAUAAAAGUUCAAGAAACAAAUUAAAAGACAAAAAAUAGGACCUAAUUAAAAUUUUGAGAAAUGUAUCGGGACCUGCAAAAUAAUUAAACAUAUAUUAUAAAGAAUUUUUAAAUAUAAAUAAUUUUUUUAAAUACAAAUGUAAAUAUAUUAUUAUUAAAUAAUGAUAAAACUACAUAUUUAAAUAAAUGUGAUUUUUUAUUAAAUAAAAUAAUAUUAAAGAUAAAAUUUUUUUAAAUUAAGAAAGAAAUUAUAUAUAUAGAAACAACUUGUUUAAUAAAAUAUGUUGUUUUAUAUUUCUACAUCUUUGAAUUUCAUAUAUUAUGCAAAAAUUUAAAAUCUUAAAAAUUAAUUUAUAUAGAUUGAUAAAAAUUAAAUAAUAGUAUAGGAGAUUAAUAAAAAAUAGAAUUUAUUCUAAGCAACGUAGACAAUAAAUGUUUUUUAUAUAACUAAAAUUUAUAAGAAAUAAAUAGUUUCGAAUAUAUAAAUUAUAUUGUAAUAAAAUUUUAUAGCAAUAACUAUAUAUAUAAAAAUUAUAUUUUAAAUUUAUAAUAAAUAAUUUAUAUUUUGAUAUAAAUCUAUUUUUAACUAUUCAAUAAUUUCUUUUAAAAUAAAUAUUAUAUAAUUCGGUUUGGCAGUGAAACAUAGACGGGAAAUGUCCUCUCUAGAAAAAUACAUUAUCAUCAAUAAUGCAAUAUGCCAACAAGGGAGUCUGGCUGGUCUUUGGAAGGUAGCUACCAAUUAAAAGUUAAUAAUAAAAUUAAAAUUAGUAAAAUAUAAAUAUAUUGGUACAUGUGGGAAAAACAAAAACAAAAAACAAAAAAAAAAGUAAAAAAUUGAGUAAUAAUUUUUUAUAGAAAAAACUGUGUAGCCAAACAUAUGAGAUGGCCAUGCAGACAAAUUUUAUAAUACUACCAAUGGCUAUUGAUAAGAUACCGUAUCAUAUAGAGCAAAACUUUAAAUUGACCAAAAGAACAAAUUGUUGGAAAUCAGGACAAACACACUAAUCUGUACUGUACCAAUAAUUUCCUUUUUCUCUGUCAGUUUAUUCACAAUAUGCUAAUCUUUACACUUUUAUAAAAGUUUGUCUUUGCUAAAACUUUUUUGCAGCAUACCAAUGUUAUACUUUCUAACUGCUAAAGAGUAAUCUCCGUUAAAAUUGAGAGAUUAAUGAAAACAGUUUCGCAAUAUAUAUAUAUAUAUUCCACGAAUACUAGAUCUAUCUUAAUUGGUAUAUACUAGCAUUCUAUAAAAAAAAUUGAACUAAAAAAAUUAUUUAAUAUUUUAUUUUUCAAAAUAUAAUUCAAGUGUAUUAUUGUAUUUUAUCAUUUAACUUAAAAAAUAAAAAAGUUCCCUCAUAUAUAUAUAACAUUUGGAAUCGAAUUUACUUAACAUGCUUAAGUACUCAGCUAUCAAAUAUCAAUAGUUCAAUACUCCUAUGUUAAUGAUGAAGAGUUAGCUAUUUCUCUGAAUCCCCUGCAAAACUGAAACUGAGAAAAUUCCCAGAAGUUCAAACCUUUCCCAACAUGCCACAAAUUAACAAGAAAACUAGUAGUCUUUUGAUUUCACCUAUAUAUAUAAAUUAUUUUUUAUAAUAUUAGAGCAUUUGACUUCUCCAAAAAACUUUCAUGAAUUCCUUAAAGUUUUAUUCUUUUGGACCGAUUAUAAAAUUAAUCAUCAAUUUCAGACUUAAUUACAUUUAAAAUACUUUGUCAACAAAAUGAAAACCAGAAAGCAGUCACCUUCGGAAGGAUCAGUGGUGGCGUUUGCAGAUUGAGAUUGUGCAACGUUAACCAAGCUCAACGCAGCAACAAGUGCAAAAGCCAAAACAUGUGACAAUAUGCACCGUGCCAUGAUAUGAACUUGAUCCACCCUCACAGAAUAAUAACCUUGGUAUUUGGUAUGCAAUAACCGCAAAGUUAUAGAGACAAAAUAAUAGAUAUGAACUUGAUAAACCCUUGGAGGAUAAUAAUCUUAGUAUUUGAUAAUAAGGAAUGAACUUACAGAGAAAAAUAUAUAGGACGUUUACUUUAAGAUUUUUGAACAAAACAGAGGCAAAGAUGGCGUCUCUGACCAGUGACCACCAACUUAUAGAGCUUUGUCAAAGCUUACGAGUUCAAUGAUGGCACCGCAAAUGUAGACAUUAUUGGUGGUCUGCAGCAACACAUUUUUUAUAGUGCCUACCAAUAAUAAUCAUGUGAUAUAUAUAUAAUAAAAAAUAUAUUUACUACAUUAAAGAUAUAUUCAGUAAUUACAUAAUAAGAAUUAAUUAUAUUAUUUUUUAAUUUAAGAAAUCUAAAUUAAUUUAAAAUAUUAAAUUAUAUAUGUAUUGUAUUAUUAUUGAUCGAGAUUAUGGAUCACUGUGAUGAUUAACCUACCUAAUAAUUUCUCAGCAAAUGGAGCACGUGAAACUUCUCUCGUCAAAAUGAUCCACCAGGAAAUAUAUAAAUUAAGCUACUUGACCCACUUUUUAUAUAUUAUUUGAGACAUUUUCAUAUUCUUAUUUGCAAACGUGGUCACUAUUAUUUUAAAAAUUAAUUACAGGGAUCAUUGAGUAUUUUCAUCUUUGCAGGUUCUAAAUUCGGUAUUUUUGACAAGAUUCUCUAAGAAUAUUUUUAUCUUUAUUCAGUCCAAAUAUUUUUUUAUAAGUCUCUCAGGCUUCACUCUAGAGUAAAUUUUUUUAUAAACUCAUUCAAUUUUAUUGUAGUGAUUAAUUAUUUUUUUUUUGUAAUGACAGUUAGAUGAAAGAACACAAGUAAAACAAAUAGAUACAAAUUCAAAAAUUCAACUAAAAAAUAAUUAAAAAUUUUAAUUAAAAGUUGUCAAAUAAUUUUAUAUAAAUUAAUUUAACCUAAGUAAAUAUCUGACUACUGGGUAGUGGGUACGUUAAUUUAUUGACGAAUCUUAUCGUUAAAAGAAGAGGAAAAUGAUAAAUUAAUACAGUGGUGGACAAUAUGUGGUUAACAUUAAUAUUUCAUUUUCUUUUUGAUAGAAACAUUGCAGCCGCGUGUAUGAUGACCUAAUUCCUUAUUAAUUAAUCCUUAGUAAUUAAUCCUUGAUAUUGCAACCAAGAUUCAAAUUAAAAUGAUUAACCUAAUUCAUUAAUAAUUAAUCCUUGAGUUUUAAGCUAAAUUCCUAAUUGCUCUGAUUAAACCUAAAACUUAGAGCAAGAACAAUGAAUAUCUAUAAUGCAAAAACGUGAUUUCAUUCCUGAAACCAAAUUUUUGCACAAUCUCAAUUUAAAUCUAGGAUAUGAACUUGUUUCCGCAUAAUCCAAACCCCCAAAAGCUAUGUUGAUCACUCCUACCAUGCAUCUAAUCAAAGAAUUGAAAUUGAAUCUCAUAACUAUGACAAUUGAUAAAUAAAAAAAUAGAGAAUUACAUACUUGAAUUCUUCUCUCACUCAACAACUUGAAAUUUAGCUCAUUUGGAUGAUGAAUGAUUGAAAUAAAACCUUAAAGGGAGAAUCAUAAUUGAAGAAAAGAGGGAGGAAGAGAGAGACACAAAGAAUUUCAAGAUUUUAUUUUUGAAUUCAAAAAAUGAAAUAAAAGUUCUUUACAAGGAUGUUACAAGCUCUUAUAUAGAGAGUCGAUAAUGCAUUAUUUUUUUCUGCCACAAAGAAUUUUCACUGUGGUGAGAACACAUUUUGCUACAAAAAAUUUACUAUAUCAACAAAGAACUUAUGCACUUGAUCUUCAUGCUUUUGAUCCUUGCUGGCUGGGGCAAGGGCAAGAGAAUGGCUUGUUGCAGCAAGACUCUACUUAAUUCAGGGUAUUUAGCUUGCAAAUUUGCUAUGGUGAGGUGUAGCUUCCUUGUAACGAAUCUUCACAACUUCCACUUUAGCACUGGUCAUCUUUCGUUAUGGUGAGAUUAGGUUCACAACUUUCCAUUCCUUAAACCACAAAGUAUGCUCUUGUAUCAUCCAAGUGUAUCACAAAAACAUUAAAAAUGGUCUUUUUGAUUUCUAAACUGAUUUUAUACAAUUUGUAUACAAAAACAACAAUUAUUAACACAAACCCUAUAGAAAAACUUGGAUAAUUGUUGAUAAAAUCAAGGUGUGAAAAAUAAUUAUCAUUAUAGCGAGCCUUUGUUCGCUAUAGCGAAUGUUGAGCAUUAUGCAGAAUUAAAGAGUUACAAUGUAUGGUAUGGAGAAAGGAAAUUUGAAGAACAUUUACUACUUUGCCCUAUAAGAUACAUAACAAAAACCUAAAGAAUUAUUUUAUCCUAUCACAACUAAUAUUUACACACAUUCAAUUUUUUUAUGAUCUUGCCAUUAAGAAUAGGAAUUUCACCAUGGCAACUGAUUUUGACAACAAUUUUGUAGACUCAAAUCCAAAACUUUCAAUACUAACACUCAAAGAUACUAAUAUAUACAACAUCAACCACAAAAAAUCUCUGAACUAAUCUAUCUACUCCCCUAGGGUUUAAGACCCAUAUUUUCUACCCUAAUACUAAAAAAAGUAAGGAAAUGAAAAAUAGUAAAACCUAGACGGUGAACAAUAAAAUCAACACUCUAUUUACACUUAUUUUUUGAAUUUUUAUCAUUACUCAUCAUCUUCAAUUAAAAUGAAACUAAAACUACUAAAGAGAAAAAUGAAAAUAAACUUACUUUAAAUGAAAAUGUGAAAGAAUUAAAGAAAAUGUGGAAUUGGUGUGCCAAACAAAAAAAUGCAUAAAAGAUUGAUGAUGAAAUGAAGGUGGUGAGUGUUUCUAGGUGAAAAAAGUGAAAGUGAAAGUUUCUCUCAGGAUUCGCUUUAAGAGAAUUAGAUGGCAAAAUGUGUGACAAAAGUAUUUGAAAUGAUAUGAUUUAAAAGAGGAUAGACCUUUCAGUUCCCUCAGUUUUAAAAAUUUUUCCAUGGCAAGUUGUCAAUCAACAUGACGAAUGUGGUACACCUAACCCAAUGAACUAAUAACCAUUUUGAUGCAGUGAAUUGUUAAUUUACUUUGGUGAAAAUGAGUGUACACUGGCCCAGAUGUGACCCAAUUGGCCCCAUGGAUUUCAUAUUUCUCUUUCUACAACAAAUUGAUAAUUCAUUGUGGCAAGAAAAAGUAGAAAUGCUUAACUCAAUUUUUACCACUUAUUUUGAAGCAUUUAAACCAUUUUUUUUUUCGAUUCUACAGUUUGAGUUUUCUAGCCUUGGCGAGGUUUCCCUCUGCCAGGGUGAGCAAUCAAAUAGAAAGUGUCAUGCUUCUAUUAAAAUCAUUCACUAUGAUGAGGUGUGCCUCUGGCAAGGCGAAUCAACUAACAGAGCUACCUUGAGACUGAAACCCAAGUUUGCUAUACCGAGGUUCCCCUCCACUAUGGCAAAUAUAAAACAUCAGAGAUAUUACAGGGUAGAGGUGAUUUCACUACAACAAGGUGUCAAUUGCUGCAAUGAUUUCACCCCUACACUCUUGUCUAUGAUUGGUGCAGAAAUUUUUAAAAAAACUUAAAAAGAAAUUAAACAACAAAUUAACAUCCUUGGGUUGCCUCCCAAACAAACAACGCUUCUUUAAUGUUAUUAGCUUGACAUGUGAUAGGAAACUCAAGGAUUUCCCACCACCUUGGAGCUUCCACUUUAUGAUUUUCCCUUCAAGGUUUGUUUGAAGGAAGAUAUAGCAGUUUCUCCCUUGUUUAUCUUUGAUCUUGGGAAACAUUUGUGUAGAAAAUUUGCUACUACGUCAUCCCACCUUGAUAAGUUGUUUGGAGGGAAGGAUCUUAACCAUGAGAUGACAUUUCUAGCUAGUGAAAUUAGAAAAAUAAAUAUAAGCACGAAAUGUCAUAUGAUACAUGAUUUAUCUUCAUGUAUGAGUAUAUGGAUUCUCAUGACUAUGCUUGUGAAAUUGAUUAUUUUGAAUUAAAUGGAUGAGUGCUGACUUCAUCUCAAGAUUCACAACAUUUGUGAAUGCAGGCCUUGUAAUUUUGUUGAAGUGCAAAGUCUUGUGUAAGUAACAUGAUCCUUUAGAGUAGUUACCUUUGGAGGGAUGUUCUUUACAUCCAUGUUUCUUUCUUGCCUCUUCUUUACGCUUUUAUUUUUCUUUAGUAUCCUUUCAAUCUCUAGAUCAAAAAUCAAUUGUUCCUUGGAUGUGUUGCUUCUUAAUGCGUAGGAUAUAUGCAUGUAACAAGCUACCCAACUAAGAAACAAAGUUAAUUUACAAAAAAUUAUGAAAUCAGAAUCACAAUAAUCAGUAAGAAUAAAAGAAUGAAUUGAAUAUAAGUUUAAAAGAAUGAAAUCUAACUAACUAAUAGAUAACAAAAUUGUCAAUUGAAUAAAUUUUGAGACACAAGUUCUCAGCAACAACACCAAUUUCUUGUUUGUACUCUUGAGAUAGGGAAAUGAACCUAGUCUGUUGUAAUAAGAAACAAUAAGUAUUUGAGUUAUUGUAUCAACAUGUGAAUUUUAGAAGCAUUCAUGCAUUGAGUUAUCAAUUCGCUUUGAAUGUCACAAUAUUUUAUAUUUUUAAGAAAGGUUUCCGCUAUAUCAAAUUAAGAAUUCACUAUGACGAAAAUAAACCAAUUUUGGUUUUUCUGAAGAAACUUUGGAGCAAAAUCAAAUUUGAAAGCAGAAAAGCAUUACUGAGAUGAAAUCCAAAGAAUUUUAUGUAUGUAAUUCGUUCCUAAUCAAUAUCACAGUUCAAUUCAACCAAAAUUCAAACUAAAAUGAUUAAUCCUAAUUUCUUUGGUGAUUAAUCCUUGAAUUUUAAGUCAAAUCCCUAAUUUGUUAAGUGACUUAACCUAAAACUCAAAGCUUGAACAUUGAAACUCUACAAUGCAAAAAGUGAUUUCAUUCGUAAACUCAAAUCCACAUAGAACCUCAAAAGAUGAAUCACAGUUGAAGAAGAGAGAGAGAGAGAGAGAGAGAAUAUUUUGAGAUUUUAUUGCUGCAAGUCACAAAAAUGAACUAAAAGUGUUUUUUAUAAUGAUGUUAAAAGCUCUUAUGUAGAAAGCUGAAAUUGCAUUAUUAUUAUUUUUUUGCACAAAAGAUUUUCGUUUGAGCGAGAAUACAUCUCACUACAACGAAUUUACAAUGUUCACAAAGGACUUCUCCACUUAAAUAUCCAUGCUUCUAAUCCUUGCUUGUUGGAGUGAGAGAUUGACUCAUUGUGGCAAGUUUCUACUUAACUCAAAAUCUUUAGCCCUUCGGAUUUGUUGUGACAAAUCUUCACAAUUUUCACUUUAUCAUUUGUCCUCUUUCCGUUGUGGCGAGAGUAACUUUGUAGCUCACGAUUCAUUUAAACACCAAAUUUGUCCUUGUAACAUCAAAUUUAUCACAAAAAUAUUUAAAAACUAUCUUUUUAGUUUCUAAAACUAUUUUAUACAUUUUAUUUAUAAAAACAACAAUUAUUAACACAAAUUCUAUAGAAAAACUAGGAUAUUCGUUCACAAAAAUAAGAUGCAAAAAAAAUAUUAUUAGUGGUGUUAUGAUACUUUUGCAUAUAGAAUUAGUGUAUAUAAUUUAGUUUUAAAUUUCUUUUUUAUUUAAAAAGUAAAAAAUGAAAGGUGAUGGUCCAUGUCAUGAAUGUGUACAUUUACUAAUACUUUUUUUUAUAACAAUUUUCUCUUUUUUUUUUUUAGUUUAGAAAGUGAUAAAUAAACUCCUUAAUUUGUAAAAAAAGAAAACCAACUUUCCAUUCUUUCCUAAUUCUUGCCACUCAUUUAUUUCUUAAUUCAUGUCAUUCACAUUUGUGGUUUCAAAUAAAAUAAUUAUUUGAACUUAUGCUUUCUAACAUUAAUUUGAUUAAUAAUUCUACCUUUAAAGUUACAUGAAUCAUAAAACUUCCUAGAAUAGUCAUUUUCUAUAUGAAGCUUUUGAGCAUGGAGUUUCUUUAAAUAAAUAAAAAUAACAAAUAACAAAAGUUUUUUUUCAAAAUAUAAAAAUAAAAAUAAAAACUAUUGUUUUGGAGUAAAAUAAAUAUUUUAAUUUGAAGCUAUAUAUAUUUGCACAAUUGAUUAUAUCGAUCUAUCAUUUUUAACAAAAGUGGUAAGUUGUUAAUAUCCUACAUAAUCGUGAACAUAUAUUUGAUUAACAAUUAGCAAACGUUGUAAGGUGUUAAUACCCUACAUAAUCGUGAACAUAUAUUUGAUUUCAAGGAUUAGUUUAAAAAAAGAUUUUCUAAUAUUUUUCCUUUAAAAUAAAUAUUGAUGAUGAUUCCAUUGAAAACUAUCUUUGCCUCGUGACCCCGAGUGCCGCAAUUGUCAUUUAAACCCAUAAGAAACCUUAUAAGUGAUAACACAAUUUUGCUGUUUGUAUUUCUUUAAAUCUCUGGAUAUGCUGCACAAGUACACUUGACAGGACAAAUGCAAUUUCGAGUGGGCCUAUAAUUUUCCAAUUCUUCCCAAAGCACCUUCAAUUCAGUAAAAUAAUCAGUCACACAAUGAAUCUUGAAGCUAUAAAUUUCUUGUUGCAAUUCUACUAUGCGAACAAGAUCAUUUUGUGACAACCUUUCUUUUAGGUCUUUACAUACAUGUGCUGCCAAAUCCAUAUACACUAUACUUUGUGCAAUAGAACUAGAAACUGAACCAUGAAUGCACAAGAUUGGUGAAAACUCAUAACUAUCAGGCAUAGGAAUACUUGUGAUGAAAUGGUACAGAGAAUCCCUAUUUAUUGUACCCCUUAGCUUACCGGAUAAAAAUAAUAUAGUAAAGAUAUAGUCAUAACAUAUUAUCUUUAUCAAAAUAAUAUCAUCAUAUUAUAAAGGAAGGCCAUGGAUCUAUACCAAUUAAAAUUAUAUAUAUAUAUAUGAUGAAAUUCGAGAUAAAAUACAACUGUUCAUUAUGAUAUUGUUCAUUAUUAUUAUUAUUCUUAUUUUUAUUAUAUUGAGUGAUAUCUACCUUGAACUUGAGAGUACCUUCGUAGGUAUCUCUUCUCGACACUCGGACAAAGGUAUUGAACAUAGAAAUACAACUAAGCAGCACAAUAAAAGAGAAUUACAAUUGUAUCCUGGAACAAGUACUCCCCACUCGAUACUUGGAGAACGGUAACAAACACACAGUCAUAUGGCUCAACACAUUAAAGAAGAGUUACAACUAUAGCCUUAGACCGGUACAUUUAUAUCAUUGGUCUCUCAAGGAAUCCCCAAACCCUCUUAUAGCUACCUCUCCAACUCACUAACAGUCACCUAUACACAUGUAAUAAGAAGUAAGCUGGCUCCCUAACAUCAAUACAACAAAAUAAACCCAAGUUUGGUCCCUUAGUAACCAGUAGGUCCUGGUUGGCACUGAAGAAAAUUAUGCUGGUCUAGUUUAAUUGGAAUCGUGAAAGACAAAGAAAUUGGUGCAGCAAGGAGUUGAAUUCAGAAGGUGUGGAUCAAAAUAAAAUUAGAAAAAAGCUCUGAUACCAUGUCAUGGUUUAAGUGAUUGGAAAGUGAAAUAAGGAGAUGGAAUAAAAGAAAGUACGCUUAUACAGAAAGAGCAAAUCGAAGAAGUGAAUCCUAAUAGCAUUUGCAGCUUCCAGCUUAGUAGGCUAACUAUCUUAACAAUCCUAUAUGAUAUAUAUCGCUAACAUACUCCGACACUACUAUCAUUUUUUCCUCCCAAAAUAAUAUAUAUUUCGUAUGGUAAUCAUAUCGAACUCCUGUGCUGCUAAAUUAUACCAAAUUUUCAGGAAAAUUGGUAAAAAAUUAUGAUAGGACAAAUAUUUUUUAUGUUUAAUUUAAAAAAAAUUGGGGGACGAUAUUCAUUUUUAUAUUUCUUUAAUAACCAAAAAAAUAAUAACUAACGUAAUUAUUUAAAAAAAACAUCAGAUUCUUUUUAUUUUAAUAUCUCUAAUUUUAAAAAUGAAAAAAUACAAAAAAUAUUUUAGUAAACACUUUAAAUAUAACUUAAAUUAUAUUAAGAUAACUAAUAUGAAGUAUUUUAAUAAAUUUUAUAUUAUUUUACUUGUCAAUUAUUUAUCAAACGAUAUACAAGAUAAAAAAAUUAUCUUGUAACUUAUAUGUUUUGUGUUGUUUUUUUAUCCUGUGUUGUUUGUCUUGUUUUGUCAAAUACCAUAUUUUUUAAAAAUUAGCAUAAUCAAGAAUAUAUCAAAUUGCAAACUCUCAAAAAGAUUGUAUCGGUUGGUGAAAAAGCUUUAACAUAGUCUCAUGAAACAAUGGCAAGUACAUGCCGACACUUCAUUAGUAUGAGAAUUUGAGUCUUCACUAUGGUAAUUGAGCUUCUAGUUCUAUAAAAUUUGUGUUUUAUACAUCAACAGUUCAGGACAGUUUUCAUUGUUGUUCUCCAUAAAUAGGAAAACCAGCACAAAGUAUAUCACAUAUGUAGAAUAUUAUACCAUCUGCUUCCGAGUGAUAGGUAGAUAUUCACUGUCUACUGCCCUGGUUUGAGCUUAAGGGCAGCACUGCAGGAAUUCCACAAGAAAAAAACAUAAACUCUUUGAAAAAGGUGAAGAUGUUAAAUUGAAAAGGAGACACAGUUGUUUCUCAAAGAAAAUGUUUACAAUGCCUCCUGGUUAAAGGCGUAAAGGAUAAUGUAAACCUUAACUUUAUAUUGGAAAAGGUAGAAAGGAAAUAAAACGUUGUUUCUCAAAGAAAAUGUUUAUUGUUUAAUUUAUUUUUUCGGAUGCCCAGUUUCUGUUGCUUUUUGCUUUUGCAGAUGAUGCUUUGCUUGGACCCAAGUAGAAGGAUUUCUGCGGAAGCUGCUCUAAAGCAUGCUUACUUUAUAGAUGUUAAUUAUGUAUCUCUUCUGCUUCUCUAAUUAGGUCUGCCGCCUCUUACUUCUAUUAUUGAAUGUUCAACAAUCUGUGUUUGACAAAUGGGUCACACCAUCUAACACACUAAUGUUUUAAAGAGUGUUUGCUAGCACUCCUCAUCUAUGUUUACUACCAAUGCAUUUUAGCACACUAUCAUUCAUUAUAAAAUAGGUAGCGAUAAGUUGUUGGAUAUGUGUGGGGUUUGAUGGUUUUAGAUUCUUAUUUUAUUUUCAUUUAGAUUUUGGAAGCAAAGUCAGUGGAGCAGCCAUCGAGAUGCAUUCUCGUUCCAUGACUCUUUCACCUUUCAUUACUAUUUUCUUUGUAAAGUUGCUCGGUCACCUCGUAGUCCAUUUACCUUCUUCCUGGUUUCGUUCCACAUGAUUUUACAUUUGAAUCGCGAGAAUUCUAAGGAGAGGUUUGCUUUUUCUAUUUUGGUCGUUUCCAGAUUUAUUUUUUGGGGUCAGUAGUUUUAAAGAAUGUAGCGGAUUCUUAAAUAGUGCUAGCCAAUAGACUAUUUUAUUAUUGCUAUCUAGAAAGGGAUAUUUUGGGAUUUUUGUUCAAGCUAUAUAAAACAUGGACAAGCAGCUUAAUUAGGUAAAUAUGACUUUAUAAACUUUUGUUCCAUGUUUUUUUUCUUUGCUGCAAUCGAUUGUAUAUGUGAUUCCCAAAUUUUCACGAGAAUGGUAUUACAAUUUUAUAUUUGUAUAAAUUUACAUUAUAAUUUUGUUACGCAAACAUGACAUAAUGAUAUUGAUAAUAGAGUUAGCUCAAAAAUUAAUAAAUUAAUCAUGUGAAUUGAAAAAGUUAACUCGCUUCACUUUUGCAGAGAGGAUCAACUUACCAAAGGAAAGAAAAAAUGAAGAAAGAAAUGAUGAGUUUAUGAGUAAGAGUCAACUUAUAUAAAAUUAAAUAAAAAUGAUGAGGCUAUGUUGGUUUUUUAUUUUCAUUCUUUUUUUUUAUUCAUGAGAUUAUGUUGGCUGAUUUGCUUGAUAAAUUAAACAAAAAAUAAAAUAAAAUAAAACCACUAUUUAACUAAAUGAGUAAAAUAUAAGAUGAAUUAGGUUGGUAAGUUUAAAUGGAGCUAGGGCAAGGAAACCUAGUCUCUUUCUCUAGUUCACCAAGUGUGUCACUACAACCAAAGUUGCCAGAUCCCCCUACAUUGAUGCCCCACCAUGACUUUCCUUCAAGGACAAGGUAUUUGGGAAACAAACAGAACCAAAAAAUGUUUCGUAACCUACUAAUGGAAAGGGUAAUGAAACUGGAGUAUGAUGGUCUGAAUAGAUUACUUUUUAAGUUUUUCUUGGAGAAAGCGUUAUUUGAAGAGCUAUGUCAACCAUGGAAGAAGUUUCUUGUGAUAAAGAUACUAGGAAAGAACAUAAGUUAGGUUCUUCACCAUGAAGGAAAAAUUGAAGUCCCUUUGGACAAUUGAAAGAGGGUUUGACCUAAUGGAUGUGACACUCAUGGGUUCAUUAUGGUUAAAUUUGACCUAGAUACAGACCAUGACAAGGCUAUCAAUGGUCGACCUUGGAUGAUCUAUGAUCACUACUUGAUUGUUUGUCCAUGGACACCAAAAUUCUCUAUUGUGGAUGCUACUGUUGAACACACACUGUGACUAGGGGUGGGAAUAGGUCAGGCUAGGCCAAGCUUUAAAAGGCCUGAGUCUAGCCUACGAUAAAUUUUUGAGGCCUAAGCCUGGCCUAUAGCCUAUCAAAGGUUUUUAUUUUGGUUCGGCCUAGCCUUUUUAAAAGUCUAGGCUGGCCUGAAAGCCUUCUUCACAUUAAAUCUUUAAUAUUCAUUUGCUCUGGAGUAGGAACGUAAUAGGAAAGUUAAAGAAAAAGGAAAGCCAAUAAAAAUAAUGAGGAAUAUAAAGGGGCACAUGAGUCACACCUAAAUUGUAAUUAAAGUCUUACUUGAUUAUAGGAAUGGAAGUUAUGGAGCAGUAAUGUGAAAUCAAAGUCUGUUAGUUUAAAAAAAAAUUAAUUGUACCAAAAAAAUAAUAUAUAUAUAUAUAUAUAUAUAUAUAUAUAUAUAUAUAUAUAUAUAUAUAUAUAUAUAUAUAUAUAUAUAUAUAUAUAUAUAUAUAUAUAUAUAUAUAUAUAUAUAUAUAUAUAUAUAUAUAUAUAUAUAUAUAUAUAUGUAUAUAUAUAUAUAUAUGNNNNNNNNNNNNNNNNNNNNNNNNNNNNNNNNNNNNNNNNNNNNNNNNNNNNNNNNNNNNNNNNNNNNNNNNNNNNNNNNNNNNNNNNNNNNNNNNNNNNUAGGCCGGCCUGGCCUAUUCCCACCCCUAACUAUGACACCUCUAUCACAUACAUAUAUGUACUAAUAAUAAAGGAAAAAAAUUAUAAUUAAUUAAAAGUUCUGAAGUAAGCUCCAUUGGAGCUUGAAGGCCUAGGAUCUUCUUCAUCAAUGGAUUCCUUUGCUUCUUGGAAGAUGAAUGGCAACGGAAUGUAGAAGGAAGAGAGAGAGGAGACACCACUUCAAGGAGAAGAUGAGUCUAGAAGAAGCUCACCACCAUAGGAGGCCAUGGAUAAGAGCUUGGAGGAAGAAGGAGAUGAAUGAAGGGAGAGGAAGAGAAGAGCAUGAAAUUUUGUGCUCUAAAAGAGCUCUGAAAUCUGAAGUUUAAUUUUCAAAUUAUCAAAGUUGAAAAAAAUGCACAAACAUGACCUCUAUUUAUAACCUAAGUGUCAUACAAAAUUGGAGGGAAAUUUGAAUUUCAAUUCAAAUUUCACUUGAAUUUGAAAUUUAAUUUGUGGAGCCAAAUGUUUGAGCCAAAAUUUUACUAAUUAUGAUUAGUAAAUUUCAGUUAUGGUUCAGCCCACUAAUCCAAGAUCAAUUUCAAGAUUCUCCACUAAGUGUGCUUAGGUGUCAUGAGGCGUGUAAAACAUGAAGGACAUGCACAAAGUGUGACUAUAUGAUGUGGCAAUAGGGUGUAGUAAGCAAAUGCUCACCUCCCCCUCUAAAAUUUAAUUGGAUUGGACUUCUACCAAUUCAAUUAAAUUUAUUUCCCAACACACAUAUCAAAUAUUCACUUAGUGCAUGUGAAAUUACAAAACUACCCCUAAUACAAAAACUAGUCUAGGUGCCCUAAAAUACAAGGUCUGAAAAAUCCUAUAUUUCUAGGGUACCCUGCCUAUAUUAUGGAGCCCUAAAUACAAGGACCAAAUAUAAUGACAUCCUAAUCUAAUAUGUACAAAGAUAAUUGGACCAAACCUUGGCCCAUGGACUCAGAAAUCUACCCUAAGGUUCAUGAGAUCCCUAGGGCCUUCUUCAGCAACUCUAGCCCAAUCCUCUUGGAGCCUCUUGCUCAUGGCUCUAGUGACUGAUCCCUUCCUAGGGAGGAUUGCAUCAUCUUCUCCCCCUUGAAGAGGAUUUGACCUCAAAUCUGUUUGUUCCUCCUCCUCAACAUAAGCUCCACCUACAAAAGGAAUUAAAUCAGAAAUGUUAAAAGUGGUGCUGACUCCAUACUCUUCUGGGAGGUCCAACCUAUAGGCAUUAUUAUUGAUCCUCUCCAAAACCUGGAAAGGUCCAUCCUCUCUAGGGCUAAGCUUGGAUUUCCUUUUAGUAGGGAAUCUCUCCUUCCUAAGAUGGAGCCAAACUGACACCCUCAUUAAGAAUUAGCUCUUUUCUUCCUCUAUUGCCUUUAGUUGAAUACACCUUUGUUUGCUUCUCUAUUUGGUUCUUAACCCUCUCAUGCAACUUCUUUACAAACUCUGCCCUAGAUUCCCCUUCUUUAUGUAUAAAAGAAGUGUCCAGUGGAAGGGGAAUGAGGUCUAACGGUGUUACGAGAUUGAACCCAUAGACAAACUUAAAAGGGGAUUGCUUGGUGGUUCUAUGAACCCCCCUAUUGUAGGCAAAUUCUAUAUGAGGAAGAUACUCAUCCCAAGACUUAUGGUUGCCUUUCAGAAGAGCCCUUAAAAGGGUGGAUAAAGACCUAUUCACUACCUUUGUUUGCCCAUCAGUUUGUGGAUGACAAGUGGUAGAGAAAAGAAGUUUAGUUCCUAGCUUAGCCCAUAAGGUUUUCUAGAAAUGGCUAAGGAACUUAACAUCUUUAUCUGACACAAUGGUCCUAGGCAAACCAUGGAGUGUCACAACUUCCCUGAAAAAGAGUUUUGAGAUGUGGGAAGCAUCAUCCACCUUGUGGCAGGGUAUAAAGUGUGCCAUCUUGCUAAACCUAUCCACCACCACAAAGAUAGAGUCUAUACAUCUUUGGGUUCUAGGAAGCCCAAGGACAAAGUCCAUACUAAUGUCUACCCAAGGUGCAGAUGGGAUGGGUAAGGGUGUGUAUAGCCCAUGAGGUAUCACCCUAGACUUGGCUUGUAAACAAGCCACACACCUAGUGCAAUGCUUAUGAACAUCUUUCUUCAUAUAGGGCCAAUAAAACUUUUCUUUGAGUAAGACAAGGGUCUUGUUUAUCCCAAAAUGGCCCAUGAUCCCACCCCAUGGCUCUCUUUCACAAGUAAUUUCCUAAUGGAUCCUUGGGGUAUGCAAAGCUUUCCCUCUUUGAACAAAUACCCCUCAACCAAAUAGAAUCCAUCUUGGGCCUUUUUCCCACUACUCUCGUAAAUGGGAGAGAAAUGUUCAUCUAAAGCAUACAAGUCCCUAAUAUUAUCAAAUCCUAAAAUUUGAGCUCCUAGGGAGCAAAACAAUGUGUGUCUCCUAGAGAGGGCAUCAGCUACUACAUUUUUUUCCCUUUUUGUAUUUGAUAACAUAUGGAAAUUGCUCUAGGUACUCUACCCAUUUUGCAUGCCUUUUGUUUAACUUGCUUUGCCCUCUAAUGUACUUAAGUGAUUGAUGAUCACUAUGAAUGACAAAUUCCUUGGAAACAAGGUAAUGUUCCCAAGUUUGGAGGGCUCUUAUUAAGGCAUAAAUCUCUUUAUCAUAGGUGGGGUAGUUGAGGGUGGCACUAUGAAGUUUUUCACUAAAAUAAGCAAUAGGGUACCCACCUUGUAACAAUACAGCUCCAACUCCCACUUCAGAAGCAUCACAUUCUAGCUCAAAAGUUUUAGAAAAGUCAGGAACAUAAUGUGACAAUUACUAUGACUAAACAUGAAUAUAAGACAACGUGGAUUAAGUGAUUUACACUUAGAUUUGUGUUUUUUUUCUAAUAAUAUUUUAGAAGAAAAUUUAGAUCUAACGGUUCAACACAAGAAUAUUAUGAAUGAAAAAUGAUAGAACCUAAAAUCAACACAAAAACAUGAUUCAACAGUAGAUCUACAAUAUUUGAACCAUUGAAAUGCAAGAACAAGUGUAGAUCUAAGAUUUAAUCGGUUUAUUUUUUUUAAUCUACUCUAAACAGCACCAAACCACAAGACAAUGAAGGAUAUACAUAGAGAAUAAGAUGAAGAACAAGGAAUUAAAGAGAAUUCACUGAACAAAAAGAUAGAGGAAGCAAAAGAACAUCACCUAGAUGAAAAUGCUCUUGAUACCACAUGAUGUAAGCUUCAUUGGAGCUUGAAGGCCAAGGAUCUUCUUCAUCAAUGAAUUCCUUUGCUUCUUGGAAGAUGAAUGGCAACGAAAUGGAGAAGGAAGAGAGAGAGGAGAUGCCACUUCAAGGAGAAGAUGAUUCUAGAAGAAGCUCACCACCAUAGGAGGCCAUGGAUAAGAGCUUGGAGGAAGAAGGAGAUGAAUGAAGGGAGAGGAAGAGAAGAGCACUAAAUUUUGUACUCUAAAAGAGCUCUGAAAUCUGAAGUUUAAUUUUCAAAUGAUCAAAGUUGAAAAAAAAAUACACACACAUGACCUCUAUUUAUAGCCUAAGUGUCACACAAAAUUAGAGGAAAAAUUGAAUUUCAAUUCAAAUUUCACUUGAAUUUGAAAUUGAAUUUGUGGAGCCAAAUGUUGGAGCCAAAAUUUCACUAAUUAUGAUUAGUGAAUUUCAGUUAUGGUUCAGCCCACUAAUCCAAGAUCAAUUCCAAGAUUCUCCACUAAGUGUGCUUAGGUGUCAUGAGGCAUGUAAAGUAUGAAGGACAUGCACAAAGUGUGACUAUAUGAUGUGACAAUAGGGUGUAUUAAGCAAAUGCUCACCUCCCCCUCUAAAAUUUAAUUGGAUUGAGCUUCUACCAAUUCAAUUAAAUUUAUUUCUCAACACACACAUCAAAUAUUCACUUAGUGCAUGUGAAAUUACAAAACUACCCUUGAUACAAAAACUAGUCUAGGUGCCCUAAAAUACAAGGGCUGAAAAGUCCUAUAUUUCUAUGGUAUCCUACCUACGUUAUGGAGCCCUAAAUACAAGGACCAAAUAUAAUGACAUCCUAAUCUAAUAUGUACAAGAUAAUUGGACCCAACCUUGGCCCAUGGGCUUAGAAAUCUACCCUAAGGUUCAUGAGAACCCUGGGGCCUUCUUCAGCAGCCCUAGCCCAAUCCUUUUGGAGCCUCUUGCUCAUGGCUCUAGUGACUGAUCCCUUCCUAGGGAGGAUUGCAUCAAGUUCUUAGAAUGCAUUUAAAUAAAAUCCUUUCAAAAGGAUAAAAGGCUCACAUUUACUUUUUCGCAUCAUAAUAAAACUUGUCCAAAUAAAUAAUAAAAUCAUCUCGACUCAAACAAGGUCGUCCAAGACUUCAUGCAAUUAAUAUAGAAACCUGCAUCUCAAUGUCACAUCCUAUCAGAGCAUUGUAUUAGCGUGUUCUCUAGCAUGAGGUUCUUCAUAGCCAUUCACCUAAUCAUCUACUCCCACGAACAUAAAGUUUGAGAUCACCACAGGAUCCAAACAUAAAUAGCACACUGAGAGUGAGUUAUAACAUUCCUAACUAAUAGAGAAAAAUGAGACAACUAGAUAUACAUAUAAUGUAAAUGAGAUACAACUUACUUAAACAUAUCUCACAUAAUUUUACCACUUUGUCGCGUAACAUCACAUCACAACACAACACGUUUCAUUCAUUUUCACAUCAUUCACGUACUAAAAGACCAAAACACAAUAUCACUAAAUUAAUCAAUAUCAAUAAAUACACAAGCAUUAUGCAAUUGAUACGUACACUAAGACUCAAGACUAUAUGCAAUGUGGACCAUGUAAGUGAAAAAUCACCCUGAGGCGCUUAGGAGUACAUAACAAGUCACACCACACAAUGGUAUGUCAGGUCACUCUCACUAAGUAAAAUUAUAAGGUGACCAGUCAGGGUUACUCUAUUUUUCGAGAAUGCUCUAAUCAUAUGGGAUCAACAUAGGCUUAAAAGAGCACUCAAACUGAGUGUCUUUACCCACAAGACUAAGACUCCGAAGAAUCUGUUAGGGCCUCACCUUCCCAAUUCAAGUCCAACCCCUAAAACAAUUCUUUUAACACACAGACACUGCUCGUGAAUUAUACAAUGCACAUGAUCUCACACUCCUGCUUCAAACACAUUUAACAUAUUGCCUACAAUUUAACAUUGGUUCCUAACAAGGAGACAUACACUUUUCCUUUAACACUAGGCAUAAACACUUUUCUCAAGGUAAACACUGGUCGGGUUAUUUUAUAAUUCACAGUUCACAACACAAGUAUUGUUACAUCAAGUAUUAAACACACACUUAUUCACAAGCAAAUCUCAUGUUCACAAUUUCAGAUCUCAUAAUGUAACAAUCCACUAUCACAUGUUUACGUGUAUCUCACAAUUAAUACAUGUUCAACUACACACACACACACACACACACACACACACACACACACACACACACACACACACACACACAUAUAUAUAUAUAUAUAUAUAUAUAUAUAUAUAUAUUUAUAUUUAUAUAUAUAUAGACACACUAUAUCAAGCUACAUUAUUUUAAAUCAAAAAUAGUUUCUACAACAAUUAAAUUAAAAUUACAUCAAAAGAAAUAUUACUACGCAUUAACUUUACAACUUUCUUUAAUUUAUUAUUUUAUUAUUAUAAUAUAUAUAUAUAUAUAUAUAUAUAUAUAUAUAUAUAUAUCAAAGACAAUAAUUUGUAUAAAAUAAAUAAUUGAAGAGAAUAUUAUUUAGAGUACAAUUCAUGUUAAUAAAAAACUCAAUUUUUAGAAUUCACACUCAACACAAGAACACAUCAAUUUCACAACAAUUUCUCAUUGAAACAUCAAUUGGUCUAUCAAACAUGUAUAAUUCACAGUUAUAAUUGUAAAGAUAGAAUCAAAAUUUGUAGAAACACCCCAAAAACUCAUUCCACUAGAUACUCUAAAGAUCCUUACACAUGCUCUCACUACUCCCUAAUUGUGAAUAACUCAUCUUUUACCUAUCGUAACUCUAAAAAUUAACUUAACUUGUCUCUAUUUAUAGUUAGGUACUCUCAGCCUAUUCUUUACUUUAUUUUUCUUUAUUUUUAUUAAUUUAUAAAAAGAUCUCUAUUUUAUUUCCUAUCAAAUGAAUAAAUAAAAUAUAUAUUUUUUUCUUCAAACCAUUAUUUAUUAAAGUUAUUUCUCUUUAUUUAUUUAAUUACAAAAACCUAAUCAUUUUUUUAAUUCUAUUUAUUUUAAAUGAAAAAUCUUUUUAAUUUAUUUCACGAAAAAAUGGGAUGUAACACACAUUAGCAUGGGUUUGCUUACCCAGUCUUGGAAAGAUAUUUUAUGAUGAGAGUGUGCUUUUAUCUAUAGCCUCUGCCAUUGGAACCCUAUCAAGGUGGACCACCAAAUGCUAAACGUGGCUCAAGGCCGCUUCGCUCGAGUGUGUGUGGAACUAGACCUCAUUGAGCCAAUAGUGGGAAAGUAUUGAUUGAAUGGUACAUGACAAACAAUUGAAUACGAGGGCUUGCAUGUGAUAUGCACAGACUGUGGGCAUUACGAUCAUGUCACUUGCAACUACCCUAAAUCUAGGUCUUCACAAUAGACAAAGAAGAAUGGGGAAGCCUCAACAUAAAAGAUGGGUGAUCCCUCCAAGAAAUUUACUCCACUGAAUGAGGACCUAUCUUACCUACAAUGCAUUGAUCCUUCUAUUGUGCAUGGGAAUUGGAUCAUAGUGUCAAAGAAAAAGAGGCUUGCACCAAAUGGGGAUGGCAGACCCUCAUACAAGUCGCAUGAUGGUGAAUAACAGGCCUUCGAAAAACACAAAAACCCAUGAGAUGGUGAAUGUUGAACCUCAAAACUCGGGUGUUGAGACAAAUGUGUCCCCUUAAUAGUAUGAUCAGUUAACCCAGGAGCAAGUGAUAAAAUCACCUUGACACAAUGAUAAAAAGAGGGGUAGGAUAUCCCAAGGCAGGUGAAUCACCAGCUGAUAAUCAUAGAUUAUCUGUAAAUGCCCACGUAUAAAUCCAAAGCCAACAAUAUAGAUCUGAUGUUGAUGCAAAACUCACCUAACUUGCCCUCAACCUGGGUUUAAGCUAAUAAUCCUUUGCAUUGACGGGGACUAUGUAGAAUCAUGAUACACGACAAAAUGGUCACGUAGAGAGCAAUCUUGAUAGCCAGGAUGAUAUGGGUAUUGACCUCUAUUUCGCCCCCGUACUACUUGAUAAAAAUGGUGAUGCAAAAUCUAACCGGCAAGUGUACCGAGUCGUGCAAGUAAUAAUAAAACGGUAAGAACUAAGUAUCGAACUCAGGGAACUUGUUUCAUUUGGCAAAAAGUCAUUCAAUAGGCAGACAUUUUAUAUAAAGAAUUGAUUAUCAUGAAUAAAAAACAAAAGUAAUUUCUAUUCUAAUUGAAAAUAGUAAAUGUGAGCAAGUGGAUGUGAAAAUAGAUAUGUAAAAGUGUUGGGUCCCCCUACUGAGAUACUUAAUGCAACUAAAUGUUUUUCUCUAUUUAAGGUUAUUUUUGUGUUCUAUGUUGAGGACUAAAAUACCAAACACCGAUGUCUCGUGAGUUUGGACUAAUUCUAAUUAAACCUCAUUCUUGGAUGUCUCGUCGAACUUAGCCUAACCGAACAGCGUUACGACUACAGCAUAAUAAAAACUAAUUACCACACUCCGUGUCUAGACAAUACGAUAACCUAGCCUUGUUCUAUCCAGUUCUAAGGAUGCAGUACAUUUUCCAAUGCUAAAGCUCCUAGCAGCACAUACAAAUGAGUGAUCAAGCCACAAGCAUGCGAUAAUAAAGCACAAAUAGAAACAAUGAACUCAUAAAACAACUUUAAAUAGAUAAGAUAAGAGUUUACAUCAAAUACUCAGCAGAAUUCCCCAACAUAUGGGUUUAGCUUUCCAUCACAAGGAAGCGCCUUUUACAAUCAGGAAGAGGGAUUUGAGAGCAAUUGACAGAUACAAAGUAGUGGGGAUGUCUCCUCCACCUCUAGGAUCCUAAAAAUCACUCAAAAACCUAGAAUCCACCUAAAAGCUAAGGUUUUUACUCCCUUGCUCUGUUCUGCGCCUCUUUUCUCUGUUUUUAUGCACUCUCCGCCAAGCUCUCUCUUUUCUCUCACUACAGGCUUUAAAAAGGGCUUUCUGACCUCGACAUCACGCUUAGUGCCAUUUUCGCUCUUAGUGCGAGUAAGUGAACUUCAGCUUAGCAAGCAUGGUGCGCUAAGCCUGGAAGGUGACUAAUGACUCGCUGAGCGAGCUAAUGAUACACUGAGCGCAUGCUUGCAUGGCAGAUUCCCUUCCAAAUUCCUCUUAAUCGCUAAGCGGCUAAUGUCUCGCUUAGCGAGACACCAACUUCAGCACUUCUCAAUUUAACUCCUUUUUACCUAAAAAUGAAGAGAAAUUUACAUUAAUUUCACAUAGAGAGCAUCUAUUGAGCAAAGAUUUCACUAAACAAUAAAAUAUUUACAAUCCUACAAAAAGAACCAUAAAUUGGGUAAAAUAUAUACAAUUUUGUAAAAAAUUUCUAUACAAAAGUUAAUCGUAAAAGAUGACUAACAAACUCCCCCAAAUUUAUAGUUUUGCUUGUCCUCAAGCAAAGAAAGAACAAUUCACUUGUUCUGAGGUUACAAAAUCACAGUGGUUAUUCAAAAAAUGUGUUUGUUCCAAAACUUUCAAUCACAUUACAUGAGUGGCAUACAAUGCUUCAAUCAACAACUUUUCACAAGACAUGCAACUUUUCAAAGAUAUGAACAUGAUUAUUAAGAAACACAACUGAAUUAAGCUAGUGAGCAAGACAAAUAUCAAAGAAGAAUCAUCAACCAAUGCCUCACGAUCACUGUUUCACUCAAGCACGAGUGUUUAGGCUAUUCACCAAUCAACAACUAACACAAGUCUCAAUCUUUGCACUUCAUGUCAUGCCAUACAGUAAUGAAUAUACAAACUGAAUCUGAAGGACUUUUCUAGGCUUGUAAUGGGGCUGGGCUGCAAACAAAUCAUUGUUUUUCUAGGAUGCAAAAGCUUAAGUUCUAAGAGAUCACACAUCCAUGGAUAAACUCUUUUCAUUUUAAUUUCCAGCUUCACUUACUUGCCUCUCGACACUUAACUUUUCUUUUUCUUAGAUAACAACACACACACUUUUUAUUCUUUAUAUUUACAGUUUUUUUAAACGAAGAAACUGCUUAUUUAUUUACUAUGUGUGUUGUUCUCUUCUUACCAUUAUUGAUGUCACCCAACAAACUCCCCCAAAUUUGGGACAAAUUUGCUUUGAACCACAAUCUUGUUAUGAAUGAUGCUCUCCUACAACCUAAGACAAGGUAGAAGGAGACAUAAUUUACAAGCUCAGGGUUCAAUCAAGUAAUCAAAUUUUUCAACUCAAUCAUGGGUGCAAGGGAUAUAUCAAUUAUUCACAGGGUAAGCUUUUGGCUAAGUGGCUUGUUUCAAUCAAUCACGACCUUCAUCAUCCUCAAAUUCAUACAUUCAUUCCAUAAUCAGAAUUCAUGCAAAAAUCAUUACUAAAUGCUAGUUGUUCUCUCAUCAUUAAAGGUCACACACUCUCCGGGUUACGGCUAAUGAGUUCCUUCAAAAUCAAUCUGUCCAACUAACUAACAUUUUUAGUCAUGAUCCUAAUCCGUGUUCUUUCUCUUCUAAACAUUGCACGCUUAUUCAAAGCAUAUAAUCAUCAUAUUACAAUUCACUCACUUCAUGAAAUCGAUCAAUUCAAACCAUUCAACAAACAUUGGAUUUUUUUCUUUUAAAUUAAACAACCAAACCACUGUAUAUAAUAUAAUUGCAAACUGUUCAACACGCUUUAGACAAUAAAACCAUGCAACUAAAAAAUGAAAUUAAAAACUAAAGACUGAAUUUAAAAACUGAAACAUAAAUAUAAAUUGUACUAAAAGCAGAAUAAAAUUAAAAGUGUUCAAAAGACAGGAAAAUAAAAGUCUUGUCAUGUCAUAGGUCCUGAGCUGGGUCCUGAUCCAUAAAUGUGGCAUCAUCAUCAGAGAAAUUCAUUACUGGUGUGGCCACUGGAGAUGCCUGCGGAGUAGUGGUGUCCAAUACAGUUGUGGUCACUAGAGACACCUAUGGAGUCGCCUCUGAAGAAGCCUCCGCAGUCACUGGAUUUGCCUUUGGUUCAGCCUCUGGUAUGAAUGGCUCUAGGAUCUCCAGUAUGGCCUCAUCAUCAUCCUUCUGCUCCGCCUGAGGUUCCUGGGCUGCGGAGGCCUCACCUCCUCCAAAAGAAGAAGGCUGGACUCCUGGUCAAGCCUCCUGCGGAGGAAACUCCUCCAAGCUCAUGUUUGGUUGAUGCUGAGCCAGAUUCUGUAGACGCUGAAGCACCAGGUAUAGAACCUGGUGUAUGCUCUAUAGCAUCGGCACUAUGAGGUCCGCAUUCUGAGCGGAGGUGUCAGGAUGAGCUGGAGCUAUGGGAGGUAGGGGAGCUGGUAGUGUAGAAUCCUGGGGAGUAGCGGAAGAUGGACCCUCAGAUCCUUUGGCCCUGGCCUUGCUGGUCCCUAGGAAGUUGACCGAAGGCUCAUCCAAGUUCUAGCAAAUUUUCUUGAUGUAGGCCAAAUUAAUGGCUAGGCUGAGUGACUCAAAUGUCAAGGAAUCUAAGGUAACUCCUCUGGCCAUGCAUAAAGCAAUGAUAAUGGCUGGAAAUCCUAGCCGAGAGGAGUUGGACUGAGCUAUCAAAGAUAUCUGUCCAGAAAUAAGAGCUUCAUCAUUCAUAUCCAUCUUCAUCACGAGUUCGUCCAUACACCAACCUUGCCCUGUCCAAGUUAAGAUCAGAAGUAUGUGAUGUGGGGGCAAGGUUGAAGUAGGACAAUACGCUCCAAGUCUCCGUCAGAGUCGUGAGGUCUUUUCUUAGAAGCUUCCAUGGUAGGCCCUCUGCAUUCAGCACAAAUCCCCUGCCAGGGAUACAUAGUCGGGCUGCCAGCUCCUGAGGGUCUGGGCGUAGUUUGCAAAACCUAGAAUAUGUGCCUACAUAGCAGUCCCAAGCAACUUCAGAUGUAAAUCUAGUUGUAUCAUAAUUAGCCUAAGGUCUAGAAGUUGUGGCCUUUCGUUUCCUAAAAGCCAUCUGCAUCAAAAGAAUCAUAGACACAAGAUUAGAUAGGUUUUUAUUCAAAUUGAAAACAUGAAAAUAAAACUGCAAAUUAAACUAGGCCCUUAGCGCGCCUUAUAAAAAUUAACUCAUGCGCUUAGUGCGACAAAGGUGCGCUUAGCGAGUUAACACAAAAAACUACUCUACUGCAUAAUUGGCUUAGCGAGAAGGCUCGUUAAGCCCAAUUCGAAAACAGAAAACAAAUUGCGCUUAGCGCACAAGGUACGCUUAGCGCGACACAACCUCUGGAAAAAUAAAUGGCUUAGCGAGCAGGGCUCGCUAAGCCCAGUUCCAAAAAUAACAAAAACAGAGAAGAUUGUGCGCUUAGCGAGCAAAGCUGGCUUAGCGCUUAGACACCCAUUCAAAAAUAAACACAAGUUCCUGGGGCUUAGUGAGAUAAACUCGCUUAGCCCAGGCUUUCAGCCAACAGGGUUGAGUGGCUCAGGGAGGAUCACUCGCUAAGCUACCAACACAAAAGCAAGAAAAAAAUUUCUAAGUGUCUAAAACACAUUAACUCGCUUAGCGCAUAGCCGCACUUAGCGAGUUCAUACAGACAUUCAAACCUUCAUCAGAGAAGAUGAACUCGCUUAGCAGGUCAGGGCCAUGCUUAGCGAGUUCAUCUGGAAACCCAAAAAAACAAGCAAAACUGAUGACCUCGCUUAGUGCACAGUCGCGCUUAGCGAGUUCGUCGAAAACUCUAGAAAGAUUGGGGUUUUGCAGCCCUUCAACACAUACCUCUAUUAGGCCACAAAACCUAAUCAAAAUGCAUAGAAACUAUCUACAUUAUGUGCGAAACAAAACCCCUAACAUUUUACUUACUAAAAACUACCUAACAACAGUCAAUCAACAAUAAAAAUCAAAACUUGCACAGUAACUAGGGUUUCUAACCUAAAGUUCAAAAAUUGAAAAAUAAAAGCUUAAGUCAGAAUGCUUACUUGGAUUGUUGAUAUUGGAAGCAAAAAGGAAGCAAGAGUGCAGGCAAAGGUGAAGUGUAGUGCAGAAAUGACAACAAUAAAAAAUGUAGAUGUAGAUGAUCUUUAAAGCAUAAAGUGUAACUGCCUAAGGCAGUUAAGCCUUAUUUUUGGUAGUAUCAACUGCCUUGCUUAGCGCAUUAACUCGCUAAGCGAGCAAAAUUGAUGUUUGAGUUCUCAUACUCAUGCGCUAAGCGGGCAAACUCAUUUAGCCCAGAACAAAAAUUUGAAAUUCCAGAGAGGAAAUUGGGCUUAGCGCGAAGAUUCGCGCUUAGCGAGUUCUGCAUCUCUGAUUGGCCUGCAACUCGCGCUUAGCGGGUCGUGGCCUGCAGUGAGUGGGUCUCUCUUAGCGAGAGUGUCUCGCUUAGCUCAAUUCAAACAAUUAGAAUUCUAGAGAAGUUUUUGUGUUUAGCGAGCAGGUGUGCUUAGCCCAAUUCAAAAGAAUUGAAAUCCAAAGAAGUUUUUAGGCUCAGCGCACUCGUUCGCUUAGCGAGACCCUUACAGCCAAUAGACAUGGGUUGAGGCGUUUAGCGCAAGCAAUUGCUCGCAUAGCGCAUAAAGAAGAUUCACUUAGCGCGAAAGAUGCACUUAGUGAGUGGACUAGUGGAAAAAAUUUGUAAGUUAUUUUUCGUCCACAGCUUUCAAAGAAGCUUGUCAACCCCAUUAUGCAAUGCAAGACAUGCUGACAAUUGUUUUCAUGCAAUCACAAAUAAGCAAACUCUAACUAGAUGAAAAAGUAAACAGAAAAUAAAAAUUAAGAAACUAAAGGAAAAGUCGGGUUGCCUCCCAGUAAACACUUCUUUAAUGUCAUUAGCUUGACAAGUCAAGUGCCUUCAAGGUGGCAUGAAGGUCACAUAUAACACAUCUUCCUUGUAGUUUUGCCUUUUAGCUAGAAAUUCCAUGAACUUCAUGUAUUUUGGAAGCACUUUCCAACUCAUUGCAGAAGAGGUGUUAGUGAUCAAUGAAAGAAUGACACUUAAGGCUUUCUCAUGCUCUCCUUGCCUUUCUUCCUUGAUAAUUAGUUGAUGAGGAAAAGUAUUGACUUGGAGAAUACUUUCUUGUUGAUUUUCUAUUGUUGGGUACUUCUCCCAUUGUUGUACUUUUUCCUCGCCUUUCUCCUCAUGUUUUCCUCUUGAAUCAUGCUCUUUUGCAGGGCUUUCCUCUUGAGCUUCAACCUCUACAAAGUCUUCUUCCCUUCUGGCCACAAAUUGAGUUACUUCUUCUGCCAGCUUACCAACUUGAAUUUUUGCACUUUUAAUUGCCCGUUGAGUUGAUUCAGUUGUUUCCUUGAAUUGUAUCAACAAAUUAUCCAGAUUGGAACCUCUUUCUGCUUCAUUUUGAUUGUAGGGUUGUAACUCCGAUCCCACUUGAUAACUUUCUAUGGAGUAGCUCUUGCCAAAAUGAAGUUCCUGAUUUUGCAUUGAAUUUUGAUUGGCUUUAGAGCUAGCAUGGUAUGCCAUGAAUUCUUCAAACACACUUUCAAGAUUAGGAAUUCUUUCUUCUUCAUAUUUACUAUAAGGAUUUAACUCUUGUCUCCACCCAGAGUUAUUCAUGGAGUAGAAAUAACAAUUGUCAUUGUAAUGCUUUCCUCCACAAAAAUCACAAUUUAUCAGUGGUGGUUGGCUGACCCUUGAUCGUGUGUUGUCAAGAUGUCCAUUCCACAUCUUAAAAAGGUCUUCCAUUUCUAGAAUUUUUGUCAUGGAAUAAGUUCUUCUGAAAUUCAACACUGCGAGGAUAGACUCUCAAGAAAGAAAAAGUUAAACAGAAUCAGUAAGAAAAAUAAAAAUACUAGUUAAAAGACAACUUAUUGCUUUUAAGAUCUAAUGAGUUCCCUCGGAACUUAGUGGUGGUGUUCUGUAUUGCAAGAUUUUUCUUCUUCGCUCUACGUUUUUCCUCCUACAAUUGGCUUAAAUCUCCAGAUCCCAUGGAGCUAAGUUAUCUGCAGAAGAUUUACAACGCAUACAAAGCACUAACAAGAGCAGCAGUCACCAAGUCAAGAGUACCGAUUAAUCAAAGAAUAAAGAAUAACAAAUCAAAUUAAUUAAAGAAUAAAGAAUUAAUGCCUACAAAUUGAACUAGACUUUCCAAAUAGAAAGAAGUUCCCUGGAAACGGCGCCAAAAACUUGUUUUACCCUCGCACUACUUGAUAAAUAUGGUGAUGUGAAAUCUAACCGGCAAAUGUACCAAGUCGUGCAAGUAAUAAUAAAAUGGUAAGAACCGAGUAUCGAACUCAGGGAACUUGUUUCAAUUGGCAAAGAGUCAUUCAAUAGGCAGACAUUUUAUAUAAAGAAUUGAUUGUCAUGAAUUAAAAACAAAAGUAAUUUCUAUUCUAAUUGAAAACAGUAAAUGUGAGCAAGUGGAUGUGAAAAUAGAUAUGUAAAAGUGUUGGGUCCCCCUACUGAGAUACUUAAUGCAAUUAAAUGUUUUUUUCUAUUUAAGGUUAUUUUUGUGUUCUAUGUUGAGGACUAAAAUAUCAAACACCGAUGUCUCGUGAGUUUGGACUAAUUCUAAUUAAACCUCGUUCUCGGAUGUCUCGUCGAACUUAGCCUAACCGAACAGCGUUACGACUACAGCAUAAUAAAAACUAAUUACCACACUCCGUGUCUAGACAAUACGAUAACCUAGCCUUGUUCUAUCCAGUUCUAAGGAUGCAGUACAUUUUCCAAUGCUAAAGCUCCUAGCAGCACAUACAAAUGAGUGAUCAAGCCACAAGCAUGCGAUAAUAAAGCACAAAUAGAAACAAUGAACACAUAAAACAACUUUAAAUAGAUAGGAUAAGAGUUUACAUCAAAUACUCAGCAGAAUUCCUCAACAUAUGGGUUUAGCUUUCCAUCACAAGGAAGCGCCUUUUACAAUCAGGAAGAGGGAUUUGAGAGCAAUUGACAGAUACAAAGUAGUGGGGAUGUCUCCUCCACCUCUAGGAUCCUAAAAAUCACUCAAAAACCUAGAAUCCACCUAAAAUCUAAGGUUUUUACUCCCUUGCUCUAUUCUGCGCCUCUUUUCUCUGUUUUUACGCAUUCUCCGCCAAGCUUUCUCUUUUCUCUCACUCCAAGCUUUAAAAAGGGCUUUCUGACCUCGACAUUGCGCUUAGCACGAGUAAGUGAACUUUAGCUUAGCGAGCAUGGCGCGCUAAGUCUGGAAGGUGACAAAUGACUCGUUGAGCAAGCUGAUGACACGCUUAGCGCGUGCUUGCAUAGCAGAUUCCCUUCUAGAUUCCUCUUACUCGUUAAGCGGCUUAUGUCUCGCUUAGCGAAUGAGACUCGCUAAGCGCAUUGACCUCGCCUAACAAGACACCAACUUCAGCACUUCUUAAUUUAACUCCUUCUUACCUGAAAAUGAAGAGAAAUUUACAUUAAUUCCACACGGAGAACAUCUACUGAGCAAAGAUUUCACUAAACAAGAAAAUAUUUACAAUCCUACAAAAAGAACCAUAAAUUGGGGAAUAUAUAUAUAUAUAUAUAUAUAUAUAUAUAUAUAUAUAUAUAUAUAUAUAUAUAUAUAUAUUGUAAAACUUUUCUAUACUAAAGUUAGUCGUAAAAGACGACUAACAAAAUCUAACCCCCUAAUGCGUCCAGUAUGUCCAUAGGGAGUUGUCUUACUUCGACAGUGCUAACCAAGUUGGUGAAUGGUUUUCAAACUGUUAGUAUGGAAGUGGAGCAAUGAGUGUGCCUAUUUAACUUUCCAUCUUCUGCACAUUUUUUUAUGGAUUUUUGGACUUAUUUAAAGAAGUUACAUUUUUGUCUUGGAAUGUCUGAGGAGCCAUUUAUGCUAAGGGUCAUUAGAGGACGAAGGACCUCCUUAGGGAGCAAUGCCUUGUCAUUAUAAUUUAUGUAGAAACCAUUGCCUUUUUAGUGCAAUAAAUCAGUUCUGGAAGUCUCGAAACUAUCAGCUCAACCUUUCCUCUGAAGCUUGAGGACACGUGAGGAUCAUAUGGGUACUGGUUGACUGUUGUUACGACUUGAUCAUUGAGAAGUUGGAUGUUCAUGAAUACAUAAUAUACUUCUUGAUUAAGAAAGCUUCAAUGAAGUGUGCUUGCUCAACAAUCUAUGCAAGCCUUCACUUUGAUCAGUGAGCUUUAUUUUAGGAGUAUCUUGUUAACCUUCAUAGUAGCAUUGACAUUCCUUGGCUUUUGUUGGGAGACUUCAAUGAAAUCACCAAUCCUUCUAAAGUUCGUGGUGGAAAAUUUUCCAAUAGUAGGGCUCUCCUCCUUUUAUCCCUCAUGGAUAGGUGCAAUCUAAUUGACUUAAGAGUCAUAGGUAAUGUAUCCACUUGAUUUCGAGGGAAGAUAGGAUCUACCAUUACAAAAUGACUGAAUUAGCAGGCUUUGGCAGACACUAGCUGGAGAUUAGCUUUUCGAAAAGCUUAUGUUGAAACCCUAUGUUGAGUCAACUCAGAUCAUUCGAUAAUCCUUCUCUGCUACGGGAGUGAUCAAAGUAGCAAGAAAAACCGCCCCUUUUGUUUCCAAGCUGUUUAGGAUACAGACAAAGAGUUUGAAAAGGUAGUUCAACAAGCCUGGAUCAAACAUGCUCACACUAUUAAUGGUAAGCUCAAUAAUGUUAAAGAUAAUGCCCUUGCUUUUAAUAGAAACUUUUUUGGUCAUAUAGCUUAUAAGAAACACAAAGUAGAAGCCCGUUUAAAAGGUCUCCCACAAAGCCUUGCGAUCCAAGAUUCUGAAAGCCUUAAAAGACCUAAGAAAUAGCUCCAUGAUGAGAACAAUGAGAUCCUUCUCCAGGAUAAAUUUUUGUGGUAUCAAAAAUGUUGAGAGAAGUAGGUGCGUUUCAACGAUAAAAACACUUGUUUCUUCAACACUUAAACGGUUGUUUGUUGGAAAAGGAAUAAAAUUCUUGGCAUUUUCUUGGAGGAUGAUUCUUGGCAAACUAAUCAGAAAGUACUUGAACAAGAGACCGACAAGUACUUCAAAAAAUUGUUUUCUAAUGAGGGUUUCAUUCCCCAAAGCCAACAAGACCUAGUUCCUCACCUCGUUAUCCUAGAGGAAAAGAGUAAUGAUCUGCUUGCACCAGUUACUAACAAAGAGGUGAGAAGAGCCAUGAAAUGCCUACAUUUGUAGGGACUAGACUUAGCCUAGGUUGGGUGAACCAACAUAAAUCCUUGGUGUAUUUUUUCCUCUCUUUUUGAUUUUGCUUCUUACUUAUUGUUGCUUAGUACUUUGAAUUGGUUUUAAAAAGGGUAGUUUUCAAUAAACUUAAAUGUGAUCUUAGAUCAAAGGGUUUCACAAAACUUUUUUAUCAUUCAAAUGCAACUUUUCCUGUGUGCAAUCAAGAGUAAAUAAAAAAUUGAGAAAACAAAAUUUGUAUCUUUGUGCAAGUAGGUUAUGAAGCAAUACUCAACAAGUUCACUUGGUGAUAGGUCAUAGUAUUUGUUAUUCUAUCGAAGUACUUGAGAGGGAAUAUGUUACUCCUAUCAAAAUUAGAAGCAAAUGUACUUGUGCAAAAAGUAGUUAUAUUAGUAAAAUGUCACUAUUCAAUUCUCCUUCUAGUAAUCAACUGAUUCACUUUAAUAAUGAUAUAUUAUCUUAUCCUCUGUGUAGUUGACGUAUGUACUCUAAUCCUUGAAAUGUAAUAUGCAUAGAGUGAACAUGUGUUACCAAUCCUGUUAUUGGACUUAUUAAUUUAUUUAUGAUGUUUCUUCCAUUCAUUAUUGUAAUAUUUCCUUCAGGUAAACUAAACUCUUGAGCAUCUAUCAAUUAGCACUUCCAAAAUUUAAUUUCUAGAAAGUAUUAAAUGCAUUUAGCAUACUAAAUUUUAAACCAUAAAUAUAUUCUAGAAUUUAAUUUUUGGAAAAAAGUAUUAUAAAAAUAAAAUUACAAAAAUGCGAAGAUUGUAUAUGUUAUAACAAUAGUUUAUGGCAAACCGAAAAAAAUUAUUGGCUGAGUCGCGAACAAUGUCGCUUUCUUUAAGACGUUUCGUGGCACUGCCAAAAAAUUGUGCAAGCAGACUAUCAAUCACAACGUCCCGAGGAUAAAACAGUUCAGAUCACUGUAUAAGAUUCCAAAAUCACUGUAUAAGAUUCUCAUUGUACUGAGGGAACCUUUUCUAGAAUUACACCCUCUUGUAUGACUUGAAAAGUCACUCUAAAACCACCCAAAAAUAUGACUUGAAAAGUCACUCUAAUAGCUAACCGAAAAAUAUGACUUGAAAAAUCACUAUUACAGCCAACCAAAAUUAUGACUUGAAAAGUCACUCUUAUAGCCAACCGAAAAAUAUGACUUUAAAAAGUCACUCUUAUAGCCAACCGAAAAAUAUGACUUUAAAAAGUCACUCUUAUAGCCAACAGAAAUUUUAGAGCGACAGAAAGAAAGAGGGAGAAGUUUGCCGAAAAUGCAUCGACUGAAAUAUGGGAGGAAAAAAGAAAAGUUGGGGAAAUGUUUCUCAACUGGGGCAAGGAAAAAAGAAGAAAUGAGUUAUCUAUAUAUAGGGAGUAAAACACUAUUCAAGUGUUUAUUUUGAGCGAUGUGAGACUUGAAGUUUUUUUUUUUUUCAAACUUUCAUCCUUUGUUCUAACAGUAUAUGUAAAAGGUUGCAAAAUGUAAUACCUCAUAAACAUUUCUAAUUGGGGCUUAUUACUAACACGUUGAUGUACAGUUUUUAAUUACUAACUUAGGCCGUUAUUUACACAACGAAUUAAGUAUACAAUACAAAAAAAAAGGCUAAAGAAA